rnacentral:lncRNA from 1 species
GUAUUCUUCGCUAUGAAUUUAACAUUCAGUAAUUAAACUGCGUACGAAUCCAUUGUAACAGCUUUAUGUUUAAUCAUGCAGGCUUGGCUUUGGGGAGGUUGUUAUGUGAGGCUGCUGAAGUAGUUUCUCCUAUCUAGAUGCUUCCUGAUGCAGUUGAGAGAAUGGAUGUGAUGUCUUCACUUGUUCUACUCUUGCGGAAGAAGAAACUUUUGUCAUGCUUUAGUGGUUCCAUUGUGAGACUAUUUUUACUGCUUUAAUGAGUACCUUCCGGAAUCAAUCAAUGUUAUUAUGGCAGCUAGAAUAUCAUAUGUUGAGUUUUGUCAAUGAUGUUUUGAGCGUUUCUUAUAUAUUGUUAGUUGCUGCAUUUGCUUUGCUGUCUUGUCUCUUAAAGCAGUUGAUUGCAGCUGGGUUAUUUCAUCAUUAGGUCCAUUGAAUUCAGUUAUCUUAAUGAGAAUUGCAUUAUUUGAUCUGAACCAAAUUGAAAAUUUGGUUGUCAAAUUGAACUGCAAAAACGACUUAUGUUUAGAUAUGGAGAGUAUAAAUGAGAAAGAGUUCAGAUAUGGAUUCUACAUUGAUAGAAUGACAGAACUGUAGAUUGUACUAUCUUUCUUUUGCAUCCUUCGACAGUCAUUUUGCAUUUGGAAUUAGGUCGGCCCAAUUUUCUGAAAGACUUGAAUUUUGCUCCGUCCUGCUAUUGUUUGAAAAUUUGUCGGUCUGGGCUAUUUAUAUUACCGUACGUAUAUUCUGUAUGGCAGCAACGCCAUCAGUGAAAAGUUAAAGUCUGUCAGAAGCUGACUUGCGAAAAGCAGGCCACUGGAGGAAGUCAUCCAAAAACUCAUUCCCAAAGCUUAAAUCCACUCAGUCCCACAACUUGUAUCCAUUAAUUUACCGUAAUACUCUCUCCAUCCAAAAUUAAGUGUCUUGAUUUAUUUCAACUUUAGUGACACUUACUUUGGGAUGUAUAAGUGAAGAGUGAACAUUCCCUCAGCUCCUUGUUGGUGAGGGAUAACAUGCCUGCACUCGGCAGGGAGCUCAGACCUCAUCCUCUUUGCCAUCUCAUUCUCAGGGCAUGUGCAAUGGUGGCAUAUGGAUACAUAUGCCCCAUGACAAAAAGUAAUUUGAGGCAUUUACAUUUAUUUUUUCUCCCUAAUGCAAGUUACCAUUAGUGGACCUCAUUAAGAAAUGAAAAUAAUGACUUUAGUACACAUGCAUCUCUACUUUUCAUUCCUACCUUUUCAGAUUUUGUCAUCGGACCACACUUUUUCUUUUCAAGCAUCCGCCUCUUGGAGAGGAUCCCGCUUCUCUAUCCGAACCUAUUUUACGUCAAAUCCGAUCCUACAUGGCAUGCGAGGCACCACCUUGAGGCUAUGCAUUAUACACGCCCUCAUUCGCUUGUAUAGCUGUCACAUUCCUUCAUACUUGCUUGAUCCCGCCCUCGCCUUCAUCCUCUUCCAUCGCUGCUACGCUUGCUUGAUGCCGUCGUCGCCCUCAUCCUCUUCCAUCUUCUCUCACCCUUCGUCCUCAUUCUCAUGUGCUUCUAACGCCGCUACGUAGUGCUUGCUUUGAUGCCGUCGUCACCCUCCUACCACCGUCCGAAGGGGAAGCAGUGCGACACAUUUAGAGGAUUCUCUUACAAGAUUCACGGGCAUGGCGACAAUAAAUCGGGGGUUGGGGGAGGGGGUUUGUUUUCAUGUUAGACAGAGGAACACACAACUGCCCUCUUCCGCUUCCUGUACAACGGUGUCGUUUGAACUGUGCUGGUCGGCCAAAGCGGAGAGAGCUAUGAUUUUGAGGGUUGUGGGAUGGAAUCAAAGGAGACUAGGUGUGGUGGUUGCUCGAAUGGAGUAGGGUGUAGGCCAUUCCUCUGAGAUUAGGAUUGAGUUUCCUCAAUGUUGUCGCAGUCACGUCUGAUUCAGGGGAGGCGCUCAUGAUUGUGAUGGACAAAUGUUCCUUUGUGGUUAGUACCUCUCUCAUACUUAUAUUAGCAGAUGUGAGCUGACAUUUCACAUUGUCGGCCAUUGUAGUUGCUUGUUAUUGUGAAGUCACCACACAAAUUAUUAUUUUGCUAUCUCUUGUGAAUUUAUUAUCUACUCAUUUAAAAAAUGGACAACGAUAACUGCCAACCAUUUGGUGACAGACAUAUCUGAACGCAACCACCUCGCGAGGCCGAGCCAUCCACAAAAUCCACACCAAAUCUUGGACAAAAAAGCAUCAUCAGUUCCCACGUCAUCUGCACCACCACACCUCUUCUCUGUUUCUUACCCCAGGCACAGGAAACAAGUUCUACUCGGCCUUACCGACCGCCAAAAAACUAUCAUCUCUCUAUAUCUAGAGGUUGCUACAGCACCAUGCCCGAUUCCUUUAGAAAAUCCCCCAAACUCUCUUCUCCCCGUCCUCUGAAAACCACAAUUAUCAACACCGAAUCAAAAAAAUUGCCAGGGAUUGGGGCAGAGAUCCACAAGGAACAAUUAGAUAAAAAAUGUAACCUUUUUAAUCCCAAAAAUCAUCUGGUUUCUCUACAAAACUUUGCAGACCCACUUGUUCCAUUUUGUUACAAGAACAUACUUAUAAAACAAGAAGACAAAGGUAGAACUGCAAAUAGGGUUUGUCGUUUUAAGUUUGGUAUCGUAGCAAGUCAAAGUUUUCAGAAAAAAAGAAUAAGAAAGUUGUCAUUCUGUUUAUGAAAAAGUUAUCAGCUCAUAUGUAUCAAAGUUACCAAAGCAAAAAUACCACUAAAAACUGUUUUCUACUGUUUGAAAAAUUGACUUAAAAUAUAAAAUGUUGAAGAAACUCAUGCUACAUUGAAUAGUUCCCGAGCAGUAUAAAAAAUGUGUUGUAGACAUGAAGGGAAACUCAUGCUAUUUGAAUGAAGAGCUUCCAUCAGAUCCCUCUGAAAAAAACGUGAACAAAAAAAGUAUACAAAAUCAGCGAACAUGUGUAAGUUUCCUUUUUGUUGACGAUAAAAUAAAUGGUGUACGAUAAUAUUAACAUGCGAAUAUAAAAAAUAAUCAGGUGCUACAAUGGCGUCUAACCUUGAAGAUAAUGCGGAUGGCAUACUGAGUGGUGCAAGAAUGAAUCACUAGGAUGAGAAUGCACAUACGACGAUCAAUAAUUAUGCCAACCCUAGCAUCGCCGUCACAGGUUAAAAAAAUCCAUGUGCACCUACCAACCUUCAUGUGUAUAAACUACCAUGAUCACAAAUAUGUUGUUUGCCAUUGUUUCUGGUUAGAAAUUAGCAGCCUUCAAGUGUGUAAACUACCAAGAUAGCAAAAAAUGAUAUGAUAUUUUACUAAUCUUUAUGUAAGAUCCUUACCAGACAACAUAUGUAUAAACUAUCGUGUUCAUAGUGUAUUAGGUACCAAUCUUUGUGAAUCACGUGACUAAACUAUAUGAAAGUUACCAGACAUCUUGAAUGGAGUGAAUCACGUGACUAAACUACUGAUAGCAUGUAUCCAUGUCGCAUUGCCAGUGCUCGAACGAUGAGCAUACCCCGCAGCUUGCCUUGUACAAAACCAAAUGCUAGCAUGGGAGCAGAGAGCUUUGGGGAGCCAACAAUUAGUGAACCGGCAACUCGAGAAUCAAGUGCGAUCAACUAUGAUCAAGGAUACGGCAACAUGGAAGCGUAUUGCACAACCUCCUAAUCCAGGAAUGAAGUUUGGCAGUUUGAAAAACGUCGUGAGCACUACAGGAUUUACGCACGGAGGUGUGGCUUUUGGAUAAGACAUGAGUAAGAGAGAGAGAGAGAGUGGAUGGCAAACCCCUCACAGACAAGGAGGAGUUGUAGGAUGUGCAAAACCCAACCAACAUUUGGGAAGGAGAGGAAAAGGGAAAAGGUUGUGAGGAAUGCCAAGCCCACAUGUACGUUACACAUGUAGAUGCAUGGUGGACUAUCGUCGACGACAACUACAACCAUCCCCUCAUCAAAAAGCCAUCCCUAACAAAGUUUCUGUCAUCACAUCAGAACAUCCCCGAGGAGGUAAUCGAAACUGCAAGGCAGAUGCAGCUGAUGGCAUGGUUCUACAGGUUUGCUCAUGAUGUACCCUACAUGAUGUAAGACAUUACAAAUGAGCGAGGUAAAUUUCGCAUGGAUCACUGCCACGCAGACGUGGGGAGCGCUAUUGCGUACUUUGAGAAGAUGAGGGUCAAGGAUUCACAUUUCUACUGGAGAAUCAAGCUUGAUGACGAGGACUAGGUGGAGUUGUUCUGGAUUGACGGUGCGUCACACAGGGCCUAUGCAAAGUACAACUACUGGUUGUCAUUCGACACUACAUACAUGCCGAACAUGUACAAGAUGCCAUGUGGACCCUUCAUUGACAAUAAUAACCAUGGAUAAUCCAUCCAGUUCGAGUGCGGUUUCAUUCGCAACGAACUGAUCGAGAAAUUUGUGCUACUGUUUAACACAUUUUUGCAUCCAAUGGGUGCUAUUGUACAGAAAAACAUCAUCACGGAGCAAGACUUUACGACGAGGGCAACCAUUGAUAUGAUGGGGGGCUUGUCGAUGGGAAGUGGGCUUCUGCCUCACAUCAUGGCGCGUGUACCCCUAGGUAGGUCGUCCAGGCCCAUAUCUAGGCUCAACCCACAUUUGAGCAAAUGACUACCAUGAACAGGUACCCCCAGGAUUUCCGAAGGGGAGACGUUCCAUUACCAAAUGAGUGGGAGUCCAAGUCGUAGGCUGGGAUACCAAGGCGUACAGAAGCCAAACCAACAAAGGCCGACAAUAAAUACCUCAAGACCUGGACAAGGAAGGGAAAUUUUCUACUUGGAUGGCUAAGAUGAUAGAGGAAUCAAAGCUCUAGCUUAGCUGAGAGUAGAUUCGAUAUAAGACAUCCAGUCUAGUUCUACCACCUCGAAACCCAACUAGCCCAUAUCUAUGUCGUUGGAUCCCCUCCCCCAUUGUACUCACUUUCCUUGAUAUAACUCUAGACAAGCAAGAUUAGGGUUUUACUUGCAUCACAAGGGCACAAACCUGGGUAAAGUCUCUUUGAUGUGUACGUCUAAUAAUCCGAGGUUGCAUCCCAUUUUCAUACAAAUCCACUUAUGUUAGUGUACCGUUGUUGGGUACAUUGCGAAAUGAUACGUCCAUUUUGCAUCAUGUUAUACUACUUUUAUUUAUAAUGUUUUAGAUCAAUAUUUCACUUUACGAUGCAAUUUUAAUGCCUUCUCUCUCUUAUUAUGCAAGAUAUACAUGGAGAGGGAAAUUGUCGACGACUGGAUUUCUGGACCUGAAAAAAACUACAAUAGAGACAACUAUUCUCCGAAGCUCGAAAUGACCUGAAAAUCUACGAAGAUUUAUUUUGGAAUAAAUAAAUAAUGCUGGAAGAAGAAUCACCAAGAGGGGCCCCACCAGUGAGUCAGAAGCUUAGGUGGCACACCACCUGGGCGCGACAUGUGAGCUUGUGGGCCCACCAGUAGGCUUCUGUGGCACUCCUUCUCCUAUAUGAAGCCAUUUGCCCUAGAAAAACAUCAAGAGAAGACUUUCGGGACGAAGCACCGCCAUCUCGAGGUGCAACCUGGGCAGGAGCACUUUUUCUCUCUAGCGGAGCGAUUUCGUCGGGGAUACUUCCCUCCGAGAGGGGGAAACUGAAGUCUUCAUCAUCACCAAUGUUCCUCUCAUCAUGGGAGGACCCAUCUCCAUCAAUAUCUUCACCAUCACCAUCUCAUCUCAAACCCUACACUAGUAGAAAACAGGGCUUUGGUUGAGGCCAGGAUAAGGGCAUUAAUCCCGAUUCACUCAUGAACCGGGACCAAAGGAUGCAUCAGUCCCAGUUUGUGAGGCCAGGGUGCCGGCCGGGCCUUGAGGGCCAUUGGUCCUGGUUCAUCUGACCCCUUUGGUCCCGAUUCUAGACACGAACCGGGACCAAUGGGCCUCGCUCCUGUCCCAACUCCUUUAGUCCCGGUUUGUGGAUGGAACCGGGACCAAAUGUUUUCCUUUAGUCCCGGUUUUAGCCACAAACUGGGACUAAAGAGAAGCCUAUAUAUACCGCUGCCCCUGCCCGCGACAGAGCCACUGCUCUGUUUUUUUGGCUGGCCGUGGGAGAGGUGUGUUGCUCUAGCUCACCUCCUAUGCACAUGAGGUGUUCGAUGAAAUGCCCGAGCCACACUUAAACUUUCUCCUCUCCAAGCUCCUUGUCCAAGCUCCAUUUUCCUCAAGAUUUUUCUAGGUUUGCUGAUCUGUCCUGUCCCGUCCCCGUCCUCACCACCGUCGAUCGCCCAUGCUGAUCUCGUCACCGGCACCACCGUUGUGAGCCUCUUGUUCUUAUCUUCUUUCUGAAAAAAUAAUUCUUACUUGUAUGAUUUAGAUAGAUACUUGUAUAAUUUUCUUACUUUUAUUAUUGUUUGUUAUUAUAUAGUGCGAUGAUUUUGGUAUCCGCCCCUGUCGGCCCUCGUGCUGUAUAUAAUUCAGAUGUGGUAUAUAUUAUCUUUUAUAACUAUUUGUUUCAUUAAGUGUUUAUGACAAUUAUGCCAACCAACGUGACAUAUAUGUUUUUAUUUAGGAGGUAUGUGAACCGGAAAUUCCAACCGACCCUCUUGUCGAGAGGUUAAAUUUAGUUGGAAAAGAAAACAAUUAUUUGAAGAAAAAAUUAAAAAGAAUUGAGGAGGAGAAGAUGGAAUUCGAGUUGCAUGUUGCGUAUGUCGUUGAUGAUCACAAGAUCAAGAUGGAUGCAAUGCGCUUGAAGAUUAGAAAGAUUAGAAAAUAUGCCAUUCAUACCGAGGCUUAGUAUCAUUAUGUCGUUGGAUCAUUUGUUACCUUAGUUACGACUAUGAUCACAAUUGUUGUUGCAUUGAAAUGUUUUACAUAGUUUCAAUGUAUGGUUUAAUUAGAUGCUCUAAAGAGCUAUAUGUUGUUCAAUGAGAACUAUGUAUGAACUUUAUGUAUUUAUUUUUUCAGUAAUAACAUUUGAUCACUACUGUACUUUGGUUUUAAUGUGAUGAUGAACUUCUAUUAAUUUGGUUACUUCUCUAUUCAUGAUGUUCUGUAAUGGUUUUUUGAUGCGGUCAUCCCAGGUACUCUUGUCGUUUCACCAUCAUCGCCAAGUAAAGUAUUUUCCAAGCGAGAGACUGGCUAUGAAAAUAAGAUGCAAAAGUAUGUGGUACCUGCUCUGCAUCAUAAGAAGAUAAUGUGUGCUACAAAACAGAGAGGAAUCUUAGGUGUGAUGCCUAUUUUAUAUGCUACUGAAGUUGCUCCUCGGAUCGCGCCUCGUGAAGAAGUGAAGCCCACAUUGAGAACACCUUGCCAAUACUUCUAUGUAGGCCGGCAGAAUGAAAGUUUGAAGGCUGCACCAUCGAGUUCAUUUUAGUUUUGGCCUAGCAACCAUAUAUACAUGCAAGUAUACGUACGUGUCUUCUUUUUAUUUAUUUUUCCUAGUUUGUUCAGAUUUUGUAGUUUCUUUCUACGUACAACUUGUAAUUGCUGAGGAGUCCUCAACGUGUCCUAGUCUAGGUCGGGCUUGGCCCAGGUGUUACGCACCGGGGCGCAACUUUGUCUAGGUGGAGGUUUUAGUUUAUGGAAAAUAUUCGCAGAUGCAUCCGAUGAUGAGGCAGUCUGUUUCCUGCGUUCCAUAAUUUGGUUCAUGAUUGCUUGUGUUUCGACGACUUGAUUUCUACGACCACUAGUUAGUUUGGUUCUUGACCUGCAAGGAUCGAUCUCAUCUCUUUCCCUUCCGUCUACUGCUGCUAAAUUCUCAUAUGCUAAUUACUCCGUCGUCGCUGCCGCCACUGAUCAUCAUUCGCAUAAUCCAUCCAUCUUUUUUUAGAACGAAGGCUCAAGAAGAGCCCGGCUUUGAAUUAAUAAAGCCAUCAACCGGCCAGGAUUACAUCGAACAAACAAAGGAAACAAAGAACAAAAUAGCAAGCUGAUACAUGGUGUUGUGUAAAAGCUAUCAUGCUACAACAAACUACUAGCAAAGAUAUGGAAACUAAAGCACAAGUCCAGCUAGAAGUCGAAGGAGCCCUCCACAGCGAGCAGAACACCACGCAGGGCACCAGCAAAGCUUGGGGAUGAAACAAAUAGUAGUUGGAGGAGCUCUGUAGCCAGCUCCAUGGGCUUUGGCCAUCGAUGUCUCCCUCCUCCACCUCAGAAGGGGGCUCCCUGCCCCCUCGCCCUGGCACGAAGGGAGCCGAUCCGUCGAGAGGUGGAGACGCCCACCCGAGGGCUAAAGAGCGGCCGACCCGUUGCCAGCCGGAAGACCACACCAGGAUACCACCGCCAAACUACUUGGAGCUCAUCCAAGGAAAGCAUCGGCAAUGCAUGAUAUUUGCACACGAGGAGAAGCAAGCUACACGGCAAGACUACUGAAGACCGAGCAACCCCCAACUAGAACAAGCACACUUCCCCCAAAGCUCACCAAAGACAGCACCCCCUUGAGGGUGACGACGCCCACGACGUCGGUGCCGCCCAAUCCCGAGGGAUUUGGGUUUCCACCUGGUCCAUGAGCAACACGGGAGGAAAAGGAGGGGGAAAGGGGGCAUUUUUACCAGCGCCUACAAGUAGGGGACGACGCCCAUGGGUGGCGGUGCCGGCAGGCCGGCAUAGGCAGCCACAGGUUUCUCCGGUCCCCUCUCCCAACCCCCACCUCGAGAGGAGACACGGCUACGGUGCCCGGAGGCCGCCGGAGAACGGAUCUGAGACGAGGGUGACAAGAGGUUGAAGACCGAGAUGGGCGACCAACACCCCCUGCCGCCGUUUGCUGAGGACAACACAGCACCACCGCCCGAGGUCACCACCUCGGCUCCGAGAUCCUCCAUAGGGGCGGAGCGACCAGAUCCUCGCCGCCACCAUCCUCGGCGGCCGUGCGGUGCUCUGGCGACCCCCUCCGGCAGCGACGAGGGGGAGGAAAAGGGGGAGGGAGCCCCGACGGCAGGCUAGGGUUUGAGCCGCCCGAGUCGCCCCUGUGGGAGCGACGCGGGGGCCUUGGGGGGGGGGGAUGGUCUCCACCACCAGGAUCAAACGUGAGAAGUUAGGGGUACUUCAUAAUCCAUCCAUCUAGUCUAGCUCUAGUACUACUACACCACGUCUACUACUUCCGAUCCAUCUAGUCCAAGUUCUUCCACACGUACNNNNNNNNNNNNNNNNNNNNNNNNNNNNNNNNNNNNNNNNNNNNNNNNNNNNNNNNNNNNNNNNNNNNNNNNNNNNNNNNNNNNNNNNNNNNNNNNNNNNNNNNNNNNNNNNNNNNNNNNNNNNNNNNNNNNNNNNNNNNNNNNNNNNNNNNNNNNNNNNNNNNNNNNNNNNNNNNNNNNNNNNNNNNNNNNNNNNNNNNNNNNNNNNNNNNNNNNNNNNNNNNNNNNNNNNNNNNNNNNNNNNNNNNNNNNNNNNNNNNNNNNNNNNNNNNNNNNNNNNNNNNNNNNNNNNNNNNNNNNNNNNNNNNNNNNNNNNNNNNNNNNNNNNNNNNNNNNNNNNNNNNNNNNNNNNNNNNNNNNNNNNNNNNNNNNNNNNNNNNNNNNNNNNNNNNNNNNNNNNNNNNNNNNNNNNNNNNNNNNNNNNAUAUAUAUAUAUAUCUGUCAGCUCUAGUUCAUCUGCUUCCGAUCAAGUAUAUUCUGCUACCUCUUUGCGCCGGUGAAAGAUCAGGGACAUCCCACAAAAUCGACUCAAAGCUAUUUGAGUCGUAUCAAUUGGUAUCAGAGAACGCCAGGUUUAUCACUGCGCGCGAUGUCAACCGCAAGCAAGCGUGACGUGGAUGAGGUGCAGGAGGAUGACGGGCCACCGCAAUAUGGUCCCGAUCUGGACCCAUGUGUCCGUGCUAUGUUCAAGGCUACAUACCAGCACUUCGACAACCGCAUGAAGGCCCUCGACGAGAUGGUGACCGACGAGUUCCAGGCCAUGCAGGCAGCCCUUCAUCGCCUAGAAGCAAGGGCAACCGGCGCGGCUGCUCCAGCGAGGGCACAACAUGCCCUGCAACAACGAGCACCUCAACAUGCCCGAGAGGCGGACGUUGCCAAUGACGACAAUGAUGCUGAGUCCGAGGAUGGUUUUGAUGCUCACGGCGACUUUCCUCGCCGACCACGAUAGGAUGCUCAUCCCCGUGAUGAUGGACCAAGGCGGCGCCGCGAUGAGGACGAGGACGGAGGUAUUGGUAGAAUAAAAUUACUAUACCUUUGUUCAUAGGCAAGGCCGGUCCUGAGGAGUAUCUUGAGUGGGAGAUGCAUGUGGAGUAGAUUUUUGAUAACCACCAUUACUCCGAGGAGCGGAAGAUUCGUUUUGCUUCUCUCGAAUUUUCAGGUUAUGCAUUAAUUUGGUGGGAUCAACUCAACUGCAAUGACGCACGACUAGAAUCGUGGUGUGAGAUGAAGCAUACAAUGCGUGCUCGCUUUGUGCCAGCUUAUUUCCAGAAGGAGCAACACACAAAGCUUCACGUCUUGUUCAAGGAGCCAUGGCGGUGGAUGAGUAUUACCAACGGAUGCAAGUUCCGAUGAUCAGAACUAAUGUGCAUGAGUCUGAUGAUGCAACAAUGACACAUUUCUUUGAGGGACUGAAUGAGUAUAUACGCGACCGUGUUGAUUUGAUGCAGUAUAAUGAUAUGCAAGAGCUUCUUCAUCAAGCAGAGUGUGCCAAACAGUGGGUCAAAGCAAAGCAAGUUUCCAAAGGCUGCACCAAUUUCAGCAUGGGGCGACGUUCCUAUUCGCAUGACAAUGAUAAUGUCAAGCCAGUUUCAUCCUAUAGGUCAGCUGAUAUCGAUCACAAGGAGAUGAACAAAGAAUCUAUGGCCACGAGCAAAGUGGAUUCAAGGGCUGAUUCAAGUGUGCGGUCUGCUAUGCGUACUAGUGAGAUUGUGUGUUACACAUGUGGAGGUAGGGGACACAAACGCAUUGAUUGUCCGAACAAGAAGAGAGUGCUCCUUGUUAAUGAUGGAUAUGUUUCUGAAGACAAAACUGACUCAGAGUCUGAUGAGCCCAAGCAAGGGGAAAGUGAAUCUAAUCCUAUCACGUGCUAUCCUUUAGAUUAUGAUCUGCCAUGCAUCAUGGUGCAACGAGCUAAAGAGGAUCAAAUUCCAAGGGUGGGACAACGGUGGAAAAUUUUCCAGUCACAAUGCCGAAUCAACAAGUGUUGCAAGUUGAUUAUUGAUGGAGGGAGCUACACCAACAUCAUAAGCAAGCGUGUGGUAGAUGUUUUAGGACUGAAGGCAUGGCCACAUCCGCAACCACAUUGCAUUGAGUGGUUGUACAACUCUGGACGUCCGAAGGUGACUCACAAGGUACGUGUAAAGUUCAAUAUUGGCACAUAUUACGAUGAUGUGAUUUGCGAUGUUGUGCCAAUGGAUGUGUGUCAGUUGCUAUUGGGUCGUCCGUGGCAAUAUGAUCGCAAUGCUAUACAUGAGGGGAGGUCUAACACUUUGUGUUCCGAGAUGUUGGCAUCAAACGUGUGCUACAACCUAUGGGUAACAAUGCUAUCAAGAUCGAUCAUGUGUUUGCUGUACACAAGGAGCCUUUGAAGACUGCCCUGAAACCGAGGACGGUUUCGCUUGAAGGGGGAGAGGAUGAUGCGAUCACCCUAGGUAAUAUUGUUGUUCCACCAUUGCUACCAAAUAAGAUACCUUCGAAACGAGUCGCUAAUAGUGAGGAAAGUACAUCAAAAUAUAUUGUGCCUGCUUUACGUCAAAGGAAGGUGUCGCAUUCAACAAAUCAAAGAGGUAUAUUAGGCUCCAUGCCUUGCUCACGUAAUGUAACGCCCUCGAUGCGGCUAUAUCUCCCACGUGUCGAAGCACGACUUAGAGGCAUAACCGCAUUGAAAGCAAUGUCGCAAGUAAGGUAAUCUUCGCAAACAACCCAUGUAAUACAAUAAGGGAAAAGAGAUACAUAGUUGGCUUACAAUCGCCACUUCACACAAAUACAUGAAUAAAACAUUACAUCAUCCAAAUACAAUCAAGGUUUGACUACCGAACCAAAAUAAAAGAAGAACCCCAAAUGCGACAAGGUCCCCGAUCGACCCCAACUGGGCUCCACUACUGAUCGACUAGAAUGGAACAACACAAAGGACAAGAUCUUCAUCGAGCUCCUCCUUGAGCUUGGUUGCGUCACCUGCACGGACUCAUCGGCACCUGCAAGCUGGUUUUGGAAGUAUCUGUGAGCCACGGGGACUCAGCAAUCUCGCACCCUCGCGAUCAAGACUAUUUAAGCUUAUGGGUAAGGUAAAGGUAUGAGGUGGAGCUGCAGCAAGCGACUAGCAUAUAUGGUGGCUAACAUACGCAAAUGAGAGCGAGAAGAGAAGGCAAAGCACGGUCGAUAAAAGUAUGAUCAAGAAGUGAUCCUAAACAACCUACGUCAAGCAUAACUCCAACACCGUGUUCACUUCCUGGACUCCGCCAGAAAGAGACCGUCACGGUAACACACGCUGUUGAUUCAUUUUAAUUAAGGUCAAGUUUAGGUUUUCUACAACCGGACAUUAACAAAUUCCCAUCUGCCCAUAACCGCGAGCACGGCUUUCAAAAGUUCCAAUCCCUGCAGGGGAGUCCCAACUUAGCCCAUGACAAGCUCUCACGGUUAACGAAGGAAUAGACCUCCUCCCGAGACAUUCCGAUCAGACUCGGUAUCCCGGUACUCCAAGACAUCCUCGACAAUGGUAAAACAAGUCCAGCAAAACCGCCCGAUGCGCCGACAUCCUGAUGGGAGCUGCACAUAUCUCGUACUCAGGGAAACACCGGAUAGGUCAAGCUACGAGUAAAACCAGCCCUCAAGUUUCCCCGAGGUGGCCCCGCAGGCUGCCCAUUUCGGACCAACACUUAGACAAGCACUGGCCCGGGGGGGUUAAAAUAAGAUGACCCUCAGGAUGAGCGACUCCCAAGGGAAAAAGGCUAGGUGGCAAAUGGUAAAACCAAGGUUGGGCCUUGCUGGAGGAGUUUUAUUCAAAGCGAACUGUCAAGGGGUUCCCAUUAUAACCCAACCGCGUGAGGAACGCAAAAUCCGGGAACAUAACACCGAUAUGACGGAAACUAGGGCGGCAAGAGUGGAACAAAACACCAGGCAUAAGGCCGAGCCUUCCACCCUUUACCAAGUAUAUAGAUGCAUUAAUUAAAUAAGAUAUAUAGUGAUAUCCCAACAAGUAAACAUGUUCCAACAAGGAACAAUAUCUCCAUGUUCCAACAAGGGACAAACUUCAAUCUUCACCUGCAACUAACAACGCUAUAAGAGGGGCUGAGCGAAGCGGUAACAUAGCCAAACAACGGUUUGCUAGGACAAGGUGGGUUAGAGGCUUGGUUCAACAAUAUGGGAGGCAUGAUAAGCAAGUGGUAGGUAUCGCAGCAUAGGCAUAGCAAAAGAGCGAGCAACUAAGCAAGCAAAGAUAGAAGUGAUUUCGAGGGUAUGAUCAUCUUGCCUGAGAUCCCGCGAGGAAGAAGAACGAGUCAUGAAGAAGACACACGGACGAAGUCGAACGGAUCCUCACAACUCCGGAACGGAACCGAAGCUCACGAGAAAGGCAACCCGGAAAGAAGCAAACAACAUAGUAAACAACCAUCACAUAAUCAUGGCAUGAUGCACAACCAAGUAUGAUGCAUGUCCGGUUUAAAGAGGGCAAGACAUGGCAAAAGCAACAAGUAAUACUACAAAUUAAGUGGAGCUCAAUAUGCAACGAGUUGCACAUUGACGGAACACCACACCAAUUAUUUAGUUCUCUCUCGGUUAGGUACUCAACAAUACUAAAUGUUGGUUAACAUGGCAAGAGGUGUAGCAUAUCAAACUAUACCAUCUAAACAAUUUAAAUGGGGCCGGAUAUAAUAAACAACAAAACCGGUAAAUCCCCAUAUGCAAUUAUCAAUUUGGUGCAACAACAAUUUAAGCCAUCUUAAUGUUGUUAAUAUGAUGCGGAUGACAUGCUCAAGUUUUAUGCAAGUUUUAUUAAAAGUUGACAAGAGCAUUAUGAAACAUUUGUCACCGUGGUGGAAAGGAAAAAGGGUGCCACGACAACGAUAAUGAAAACGGUGCCACGGCAACGUUCCGGUUCCGGUAACUCGAUUGAGAUACCGAUGCAAAGGAGAAGUGUGCGGAACAUGACAUGCAAGGAUGGUGGGGAGUGAUCCCGGAUUCCGGGUGUCCCAUGAGUUGGUGGCAUGGCAAAAAGAGGGGCGACGUGCACCGACAAUUCGAGCACGGAGCAAGCAUGAGCAUCUCAUACAACACACAACAUUCGUUCAUGGGCGUCGUCUCGAGGGUUAUACCUUCGAAGGGUGCGUUAUCGGAGCGGUUCGGGUCAAGCAGUGUAGUUGUUCACGAUCGUCGUGGGAAGUAGUGGUACUCGGUCGUCGUGGAAGUAGUUGUUCACGGGUCGUUGUGGGAAGUUGUCCUUCUCGUGGCGACGGUAGUUGUUCACCCGACGGUCUUUGGAAACGGUCACGACAUACAGGGUUCGUAGAUGUUCGGGUCGAGGGUAGCAAUACUUAGUAUCUUGCGGAACUUGACGGCCCGUCAUGGUACUUGGCGGUCUCGGUACUUGGCGGUCUCGAUCGGAGCAACAACAUGUAGCCGAACUUGGGGUCUCAGUCCUGGCAAUCAAAAGGGUACUUGCGGUCUUGACGAACCCGUAGUGGUACUGGGUGAGAUCAUGGCCAUGGUAGUCUUUGGACUUGGAGUUUUGUGUAGUCGAACUUGAGGUGCUCCUGGACCGGCUGGACUUGGCGCGUCCGACAGCAAAAGAUACACAAAUCGGGGUUGGUGGUGACUAUGAGGAAUCCAACGACGAUGCACUCGGCAUCGAGGUCCCGCAGCGCAUCAGCGGCAGGAGGCAGGCCUUAACAGAGAUGGAACAUGGCGAACACAUGCGGAAGGGAACACAACGAAGUGGAUGGCAGCGGCUUGCUUGCCGGCAACGGCUGGAGACGGAGGUCGCCGGUGCAGGGACUCGACCGGAGUCAACGACACGGUCAUCGCUGGCCCAUGCAACGGGUCAGCGAGGCAGGGACGCUGGCGAUGCAAAGGUCAGGGCGGUACUGCAGUGGCGCCGCACAGCAGAAGAAGAAGAGGGAGGCGCGACAGAGGCGAUGGCAUGCGGGUCCGGCGAGCUUCGACCCGUGGCGGCGCACGCGCAGAGGUAGGUCGCGGCGUGCGCGAGGUGGCCAGGUGGCGGCGACGGGCGAUGCUGGGAAGAGCAGCUGCAGCAGGGCAUGGAAGGAGGAGUAGCAGAGGAAGGGGGCCGCGCGGAGGGGCGACGUGCUCGCCGGCGUGAGGUGCGCAUAGGCGAGGGAGAGUCAGGGAGGAGACGUGCGCGUCGGGGUCCUGUGGGUGGCGGCGCGAGGGAGAUGGGGAUCAAGGAGAUGCGGAUCGAGCGCGUGUGUCCUCUCCUGGCGGCGCGAGGUUAGCGAGAGGAGGGAGAGAUGGGAGAUGGGGAUCGGGCUGCGGUACUAGGGUUAGAAAGCGGGACUGGGAAGCGGGCCGGCCUGGACUGAGGCCCAAGUGACCAGCUGGGUUACUCUCUCUCUCCCCCACUCCUUUGUUUUUUAAAAAAAACAGAGAAAUAAAAGAAAGGAAAAAGGACAGAGGAGAAGGUUGAAGAAGAAUUUGGACAAGCGGUAAAUUUUCUUAGACUCACAAAAAUAUGUUAGGUCCGAGAAAAUUAGGAAAGACCAAGAUUGAAAGAAUAAAUUCAAAUUUCUUUGAAUUUAAUUCAAAAGGUUUGAACUAGGAUAGAUUUUAGGAGUGCCCAAAAAUGUUGAGAAAUUAGGUGGAGCUCCGGAAAAUGACGAAAGGACAUGUGGCAAAGUUAGAGGCCAAGAGUUGAGAAGGAAAAAGGCAUGGAACUUAGCUGUAAGUGUGUUAUGGUGAUUCCAAAUUAAUGGAACGGUUUUUAUAUAGCUCCCUAAAAAUUGGGAGGAUAUGUUAUAAAGAGAAACACCAUAUGAAUUCCCUCGAUUUAAAUGGAGCGAAGAUCCAUACGGUUUAUUAAUAUGAGUUGCAAAGAUUAAUGACAUGAUGGCAUGAUGACAAGAUGCAAUGCACAUGAUGCAAAGAUGAAUGCAAUGCAUGACACGCAAGCAAAGACAACGCAACAACAGCGAAUAACUGGACGACACCUGGCACAUCGGUCUCAGGGAGCUACACGUAAUAUCCAAGGAAGUCAAAAGCCAGACAUUUUAUUCAGGGAUCCAAGUAUUGGUGAGAUGCCUAUUGAGCUAAUUCCUUCAGAUGAAGUGGAGCCUUGCUUUAGAACUCCAUAUACCGUCUAGGGUAGCAUCAAAGUAUUCUCUUCUACAGUGUCAUAUGGCUGGAGAGCUUAAUUAAGGAAACAUGAGUUUUUGUAAAGGAAAUCACGUGUGCCAAUAAACACGUAGAUAUCCUAUUUUAGUGGGAGUCUUUUUGGUAGAAGAUAGGGAUAAAAUAAUGGGAUCGUUGUGAUCGUAGCAGUAAGUUUAUAUAAGUUUUCUUUUAGUCGGUAACCCAGGUCGCCCUAUAUAACGGGGAGGCUUCGGCCAUUGUGAACAGGUUUUAGCUUUAGGAAAAAUACUCUCAGAUGAAAAAAGUCUGUCCCGCUUGGGUGACGGUUAACGUCCUGUCCGGUGAUUCCCGGGGCGAUUCCUUAGGCGAUCACGAUCGGGGCUGCAUGUCUGCCUAGGGUUCUUACGAUCCACUACCGCCUAGACUCAUCUGUCAUCCUCGUCCUCGUGUUUGCGUCCUUCCUCCCAUCCUCAACCCAUCCACCAUAAGCCUUCUGCGUGUUACCCUAGGGCACGUGGUCGUACAACACCUGAUCCUAGGAGGAGGCCGGGGCGGUUGGGGGUGCGGAGUCAUGGCGCUGGAAGGGGUGGCGGGGAUGUUGAAGGGUUUGAAGCUUUCGGAGGAGGAGAAGAAGGGCGUGAAGGUUCGGCUCUCAUCUAGGGAGAAAGGGAAGGAGACGAUGUGGCAGGCGGUGGGUAAGGUCAUGUCUGAGAGAUUGGCACAUCCAUAUGCGAUCUGCCUCCCCCUGGGCAAGGUCUGGUGUCCGAUCAAAGGAAUUGGGUGCAAGGAGAUAGGUGUGAAUCAGUUCCUAUUCAUGUUUCAUCAGGAGUCGGGUAAGCGCAAGGCGAUUGAAGAUGGAGCAUGGAUGUUUGACAAGGAACUCAUGGUGGUGGAAGACUACGUAUCGACCAAGAGGCCGGAGGAUUAUAAUCACAACAACAUCCCAAUUUGGGUUAGGGUUUAUAACCUUCCUCUCGGCAUGAUGAACAAGGAGUCUGCUGAGGAUAUUGAUAACAUCAUGGGGGAGUUUGUGGAGGCGGACACAUGGGCUGAUGGGAUUGCUAUUGGCAGGUUUCUGCAGAUCCAAAUCAGGAUGCAGAUUGAUAGACCAAUCAUGAGGGGUUUUACCCUUGACGGGGGUGAUGAGAGUGCAGAGGUGCAGGACAAGGGGAAGGUAGCCAUGGAGAGGGGGGAAGAAGAGGAUGAUAGAGAUUGGUGCAGAUUUGAAUAUGAAUACUUGCCAGAUUUCUAUUAUACAUGUGGGAUCAUUGGUCACGGAGAGAAGGAUUGCUCUAUCAAGUUGAAGAAGGGAGAACGCUCACAAUUUGGACGCUGGCUGCGCGCUGAUAUAGGUCGGCGAAAGGGAUGGUCCGAGGAGAGAUUUUGGAGGUCUGGAGGAAGAAGUUCCAGCGGGCCACGCAACNNNNNNNNNNNNNNNNNNNNNNNNNNNNNNNNNNNNNNNNNNNNNNNNNNNNNNNNNNNNNNNNNNNNNNNNNNNNNNNNNNNNNNNNNNNNNNNNNNNNNNNNNNNNNNNNNNNNNNNNNNNNNNNNNNNNNNNNNNNNNNNNNNNNNNNNNNNNNNNNNNNNNNNNNGCUUAUCCUAAGGGAAGAGCGAAUCCCACUCCAAUGGAGGUGGAGUUGGCAGGUCAGGUAAAGAGGAGGAGGUUACUAGCCCUGUCAAAAAUGAUAAGUUUCAUGGGGGAAGGGGUAAUCUGUAACGCCCCGAGACCGAUGUGCCAGGUGUCUUCCAGUUAUUUGCUGUUGUUGCCUUGUCAUGUGCUUGCGUAUCAUGCAUCUCAUAUCAUGUCAUCAUGUGCAUUUCAUUUGCAUACAUGUUCUUCUCAUGCAUCCGAGCAUUUUCCCGGUUGUCCGUUUUGCAAUCCGGCGCUCCUAUGUCAUCCGGUGUCCCAUUUCUACCUCUUUUCUUGUGUGGGUAUUAAACGUUCUCAGAUUGGACCGAGACUUGCCAAGCGGCCUUGGUUUACUACCGGUAGACCGCCUGUCAAGUUUCGUGCCAUUUGGACUUCGUUUGAUACUCCAACGGUUAACCGAGGGACCAAAAAUGCCUCGUGUGUGUUGCAGCCCAACACACCUCCAAAGUGGCCCAAAACCCACCUAAACCCCCUUCCAUCAUCUUGGUCGUUCGAUCAUGACCGCGUGGCCGAAAACCGCACCUCAUUUGGAACUUCCUAGCUCCCUCUACCUCUAUAAAUAGACCCCCCUUUCCAAAUUUCGGAUCUCUUCCCCGAAACCCUAGAUCCAACUCCCUCCGCGCCGCCGGACAUGUCCGCUCGCCGGCGGACGCGUCCACCCAGCCAGCCACGUUGCCGAACCAAUUGGAGGCCGCCAUGUCACCUUCCCCGCCGCCGCAGCCAAUCAGCGCCGCCACCUCAGCGCCCGCGCCGCCCAGUUCGCCGNNNNNNNNNNNNNNNNNNNNNNNNNNNNNNNNNNNNNNNNNNNNNNNNNNNNNNNNNNNNNNNNNNNNNNNNNNNNNNNNNNNNNNNNNNNNNNNNNNNNNNNNNNNNNNNNNNNNNNNNNNNNNNNNNNNNNNNNNNNNNNNNNNNNNNNNNNNNNNNNNNNNNNNNNNNNNNNNNNNNNNNNNNNNNNNNNNNNNNNNNNNNNNNNNNNNNNNNNNNNNNNNNNNNNNNNNNNNNNNNNNNNNNNNNNNNNNNNNNNNNNNNNNNNNNNNNNNNNNNNNNNNNNNNNNNNNNNNNNNNNNNNNNNNNNNNNNNNNNNNNNNNNNNNNNNNNNNNNNNNNNNNNNNNNNNNNNNNNNNNNNNNNNNNNNNNNNNNNNNNNNNNNNNNNNNNNNNNNNNNNNNNNNNNNNNNNNNNNNNNNNNNNNNNNNNNNNNNNNNNNNNNNNNNNNNNNNNNNNNNNNNNNNNNNNNNNNNNNNNNNNNNNNNNNNNNNNNNNNNNNNNNNNNNNNNNNNNNNNNNNNNNNNNNNNNNNNNNNNNNNNNNNNNNNNNNNNNNNNNNNNNNNNNNNNNNNNNNNNNNNNNNNNNNNNNNNNNNNNNNNNNNNNNNNNNNNNNNNNNNNGCCGGCGACCAACUUCGGCGACCGGAGUGCGCCGUCCCGCGCCAUCAUCCCCGCCGCCUCGCUCGCGCCGCAGUGCAGAGCACCGCCGCCACCCGCGCACAGCCUCCUCCUCCACCGUGCCGCCCGUUCCUGCCUUGUUCUUCACGCCACCGCACCCUCCUUCGCCGCCUCGCCUUGCCGGCGGGAACCGGCGUCGCCGCCCCUGCCUCCCCGAUCCGAUGGGGAUCGAGGGAGACGACGACGCCCCCGUUGACCCCUUCGUGGGCCCCGCCUUCGACCCAACGCGCCGGCCUCGUUAGGCCCAGCGCCAAGCCGGCCCAGUCUCCAGGCCCAGCUCCACUCCCUCCGGCCCGAUUUUUUUUCGCGAGGGUAUAUUUCUCCAAGUCCUCAGUAUUUUCAGGCUUUUUCAUCGCAUCAUAACUCCCUCACCGUAGCUCUGAUUUGUGCGUGUAGCAUAUCAAAAUGUUCAUCUCGACAAGUACAUCAUUUCAUCUCAUUGCAUCAUUUUCAUUUGAGCUCAUCUUGAUGCUCGAAAUGCUGUUGUAAGAGGGCUAUGUGAUGAUGGUUUCAGAUCUGUUUCAGCAAAUGCACUUUUGUCAUUUUUGCCACGAUUAAUGUGUGCAUGCUAUGAUCCUGAGCUCUACAUGUGUUUUGAAGAAUGCCAUGCCAUCUUUACAGGGGUGUAUGCCAUGUAUUUUUGUGAUCUUUGUGGUGACUAGCACAAGCAUGCAAAGUAGCUUACUCAAUGUUGUUGAUUUCAGGGACUUAGAAAUAUUCCAAGUCCUUGCCCUGUUAUUAUUUUUAUGCCAUAUGUUCAUGUUGUUUCCGAGUAAUCCGUGCCUCUUUUGAGCAUGAUCAGUAAGGAUGUUUUGUAAAUAAUGUUGUGCUAUAUCCAUCCAUGUCUUUGUUUCCAAUUAUGGAGCACCCUAGCUUGAGUCAAUCGAGCUCUACUUUUGCUAUAGAAUGUUCCUGGCAGAUUGUUAACAUGUUUAGAAAUUUUGCCGAGCUUGUUGUUGUUGAUCCGAGCAUGCUAUGUUGUUGUUCUUACCAUGUCUAGCUUCUAUGCCAUGUCUAUUUGCUGGGUGUAUGCUUAGUUUGUCAUGCAAUGCCUCGUAGUGAGUGCAUCGAGCUCGUAAACAUGCCUACUCGUUAUCUGUUUUGCCAUGCUCCAGUUUUUCACUAAGUCUGAAUCUGUUAACGUUAAUUGCUAUGUUCGCAUGCUUGCCAUUGUAUUUUCUGAUCCCUUUUGGCUUAUGGUCAGUAAGGGACUUUUUUUGUAUGCUUUGAGUAGCUUCAUGCCAUGCCUUGCUUUGCCAUGUUAUGUUCCUGUAGCAUGUAGUUUUCAUGCUCUAAAGAUUGCUUCCUGAUGAUAAAUUCCUGACUUGUGUUAUUUUCUCCAAGUCUGUAACCUGUUAUCAUUUGCACUUUUGCCAUGUUUGUUUGAGCUUGCUAUUGAGUGAAUUAGCCAUAGCUCAGUGUUCAUCUUUUGUCAAGCAUCUUGAGUGGAUCCCUGCCAUGUAUUUAGUUGCCAUCUUUGAGUGCUGUAGCAUAUUUAACUUGAUGCUUUUAGAUGGUCUCUUGCUGUUAAUCGCAGACCGGUGCCAUAUUUGUUUUGCUUGUCAUUUCCAAACCGUGCAUCCGAUUCCGGUGAUCUUUAUAUCGAUUUCGACUGAAAUCACCUCCCCUUUCAAGUGGCACUCUUGGAUUUCCAAGUUGAGGCCAGGUUCAAUCAUUCCUUUGCAAAUCAUGCAUAUGCAUCACAUACCGCAUCCUGCAUAUCAUGCCAUGUUCAUGUGUUGGUUGUUUACUAUGUUGUGUGCUUCUUUCUGGUGUUGCUUCUUCGGGUUGGUUCUGAUAAAGUCACGUUUGUGAGGACCCAUUCGACUACGUCUGUUUGUCUUCUUCAUGGACUCGUUCUUCUUCCUUGCAGGAUCUCAUGCAAGAUGACCAUACCCUCGAAAUCACUUCUAUCUUUGCUUGCUAGAUGCUCGCUCUUUUGCUAUGCCUAUGCUGCGAUACCUACCACUUGCUUAUCAUGCCUCCCAUAUUGUUAAGCCAAGCCUCUAACCCACCUUGUCCUAGCAAACCGUUGUUUGGCUAUGUUACCGCUUUGCUCAGCCCCUCUUAUAGCGUUGUUAGUUGCAGGUGAAGAUUGGAGUUUGUUCCAUGUUGGAACAUGGAUAUUUUGUUGGGAUAUCACAAUAUCUCUUAUUUAAUUAAUGCAUCUAUAUACUUGGUAAAGGGUGGAAGGCUCGGCCUUAUGCCUAGUGUUUUGUUCCACUCUUGCCGCCCUAGUUUCUGUCAUAUCGGUGUUAUGUUCCCGGAUUUUGCGUUCCUUACAAGGUUGGGUUAUAAUGGGAACCCCUUGACAGUUCGCUUUGAAUAAAACUCCUCCAGCAAGGCCCAACCUUGGUUUUACCAUUUGCACUAACAACCUAGCCUUUUCCCUUGGGUUUCGCGGACUCAGGGGUCAUCUUUAUUUUAACCCCCCCCCGGGCCAGUGCUUCUCUAAGUGUUGGUCCGAACCGAGUAGACUGCGGGGGCAACUUGAGGGUUGGUUUUACUCGUAGGAUGUCUCAUCUGAGUGUGCCCUGAGAACGAGAUAUGUGCAGCUCCUAUCGGGAUUUGUCGGCACAUUCGGGCGGCUUUGCUGGACUUGUUUUACCAUUGUCGAGGAUGUCUUGUAACCGGGAUGCCGAGUCUGAUCGGAUUGUCUUGGGAGAAGGAAUAUCCUUCAUUGACCGUGAGAGCUUGUGAUGGGCUAAGUUGGGACACCCCUGUAGGGAUUUGAACUUUCGAAAGCCGUGCCCGCGGUUAUGGGUAGAUGGGAAUUUGUUAAUGUCCGGUUGUAGAAAGCCUGAAGUUUAUCUUAAUUAAAAUACAUCAACCGCGUGUGUAGCCGUGAUAGUCUCUUUCCGGCGGAGUCCGGGAAGUGAACACGGUGUUGGAGUUAUGCUUGACGUAGGUUGUUCUAGAAUCACUUCUUGAUCAUAGUUUUUCGAACGUGCUUUGCCUUCUCUUCUCGCUCUCAUUUGCAUAUGUUAGCCACCAUAUAUGCUAGUCGCUUGCUGCAGCUCCACCUCAUACCUUUUACCCUUCCCAUAAGCUUAAAUAGUCUUGAUCACGAGGGUGUGAGACUGCUGAGUCCCCGUGACUCACAGAUACUUCCAAAACCAGUUUGCAGGUGCCGAUGAUAUCGUAUAGGUGAUGCAACUGAGCUCAAGGAGGAGCUCGAUGAAGAUCUUGUCCUUUGUGUUGUUUCAUUUCAGUCGAUCAGUAGUGGAGCCCAGUUGGGAUGAUCGGGGAUCUGUGUAGCAUUUGGGGUAGUCUUCUUUUUAUUUUGGUUUUGUAGUCGGACCUUGAAUGUAUCUGGAUGAUGUAAUGCUUUAUUCAUGUAUUGUGUGAACUGGCGAUUGUAAGCCAACUAUGUAUCUCUUUCCCUUUAUGUAUUACAUGGGUUGUUGUGAAUAUUACCUCACUUGCGACAUUGCUUUCAAUGCGGUUAUGCCUCUAAGUCGUGCUUCGACACGUGGGAGAUAUAGCCGCAUUGAGGGCGUUACAUAACCCAAAGAAGCUGGACCUCAAAGAAGGAGCAAAGCGGCUGCAAGCUAGUCCUGAUGGGCAAGAGGAUGUGGCACCCGCUGUAGUAAGAAACCCGAGCAAGUCAGAGGUGGAGUCUGGGGAGAAGGGUGGGAGGAUGGUUAUACCAAGCGAGGUGGGGGAGAAAGACAAGUCUUUGGGAGGGAGAAAAUACAAAAAGAAGGGUAGAGACAGGGCUGCUGUAGUGGGUGUGAUGGAGAUGGAUACUGGUCUGGGCGGGAAGAGGGGGAGGGUGGAAGAAGAGGAAUAUGAUGUAGAGUAGCUAGGAAAGAAGGGUAAGGUGGAUGAGAUGUCUCAGGAUGUUGUGCUGGCGACCAACGCCCUGCUUUUGGCUGCCAAUGAUAAGAUAUCAGCCGGGCUGCUGGAGCAGCCCCGCCGGGAGUCAUGAAAAUAAUAAGCUGGAAUUGCCGAGGACUUGGGAAUGGCCCGGCGGUUCAAGGACUCCUCGAUAUGGGGAGACUGGAGGAUCCCGAUAUAUUGUUUUUGGCUAAAACUAAACUAACAGAAGGGGAGUUGGAGAGGUUCGUGUGGUCUCUUGGGUUGGCCAACAUGAUAGGUUGGGACCCAGUGGGCCGAGCAGAGGGAUUGCGAUGUUCUGGAGGAGGGGUGUGGACGUGAUGCUCAGAUCGUACAGUAGGAGACAUGUGGAUGUUGAUGUGGAAGGGGAGGAAGGAGGUGUAUGGAGGCUAAGGGGGUUUAUGGAGAGUCCGAUGCUGACUGAAAAAAAGAAACAUGGCGCACCAUCAGAUUACUAGGGCAACAUCACCAAGAGGGGAGGCCGUGGUUGUGUGUAGGGGACUUCAAUGAGAUCCUGGCAGAUGAUGAGAAGGUGGGAGGAGUGUCGCGGGCAUAGUCUUGGAUGGAUAACUUCAGAGAGAGUCUUGUCAAUUGUGCACUCUAUGAUAUUGGGUACGAAGGAGACAAGUUCACUUAGAGGAAUCACAACAAAGAAUAUGAUACUUAUAUCUAUGAAAGAUUGGAUAGAGCAACGACAAACGCGAAGUGGUGUGAACUCUUCCCUGAGUUCUCGGUGUUGAACGGUAAUCCAUGCCACUCCGACCACCACCCUAUUAUUGUUGUUAUGAAGGGAGAUAAAAAAGCGAGACCAAGUGGUGGCCGGGGUUUUCAGUUUGAAGCUUGGUGGCUGCAGGAAGACGGGUGGAGUGAAGAGAUACAAGGGGCGUGGGGGGAGAGCUGGAUGGAGGAGGAGGUGGUGUGGCCGGUGCUAUGGAGGAAGUGGCAGGCAGAAUGAAAAAGUGGAACAAGGAGGUGGUGGGAGAACUUGAGUGUAGAUUGAAGAAGGGUCGAGCUGAUCUAGAAAGAUGUAUGAAACAACCCGUGUCGGAGCACAAGGUUAGGGAGGAGGCGUGACUUAGAUGUGUGGUGAGGGAUCUGGAAGAGAGAAAGUACACUAAAGCUAAGCAAAGAACGCACAUCACUUGGCUGAAACAUGGCAAUAGGAACACACACUAUUUCAUGGCGUUUGCAUCGGCCAGGAAGAAAUCAAACAGAGUGAAGAAGCUGAGGAGAGAGGAUGGCUCGAUUUUGGAGGAGGGACCAGAGUUGACUAACUAUAUUCGCUCUUUUUUUCAGGACCUGUUCACCACAAAUAACAGCACUCGGUUAGCCGAAUUGAUUGAUCAAGUGGAGCCCCGGGUCACGAGCACUAUGCAGGCUGCCCUUAAUGCGGAAUUCACUCGAGAGGAAAUCAAGGUAGCUCUUGACCACAUAGGAGACAUGAAGGCACCCGGGCCAGAUGGGAUGCCGUCCAUAGUCUAUAAAAAGCACUGGCAUUUUAUGGGGGACCGCAUUGUGUAGGAAGUGCUUGCUGUACUGAAUGGUGGUGAUAUCCCUAUGGGGUGGAACGAUACAGUGGUUGUGCUGAUUCCGAAGGUCAAAAAUCCAAGCAGGAUCAAGGACCUCAGGCCGAUAUCCCUCUGUAAUGUACUGUACAAACUGGUGUCCAAGGUGACUGCAAACAGACUCAAAACCAUCCUUCCUGAUCUUAUCUUAGAUAAUCAGAGCGCCUUUGUUCCGGGAAGACUUAUCACUGACAAUGUUCUUAUAGCCUACGAGCUGUCCCAUUUCCUGUUAAACAAGAAGAAAGGGAAGGAAGGUGUUGCUGCGGUUAAAGCGGAUAUGAGUAAGGCUUAUGACUGGGUCGAGUGGAAUUUUCUACAGGCAAUGCUUGGCAAGCUUGGUUUUAAUAGAGCUUGGGUGGAUCUGAUUAUGAAGUGUGUUACAUCGGUGCGGUACCAAAUUAAGGUUAAUGGUGAGUUGACAGAGCAGUUUGUCUCGUCACGCGUUCUGCGUCAAGGGGACCCAGUCUCGCCAUACCUAUUUGUGAUAUGCGCUGAAGGACUAUCAGCUCUACUCCAUGCUGCUAAGAGGGAGGGCAGAAUAACUGGAGUGAAAAUCUGUCAGGCUGCCCUGGCCGUGUCACACUUGCUAUUUGCCGACGAUUCAGUUCUAAUGCUGAAAGCCACCCCAGAAGAAGCAACUGAGUUGAGAGCAGUGUUGGAUCUCUAUGAGGCAUGCUCGGGAUAGUGUAUUAAUGUUGAAAAGUCGGCGGUAAUGUUCAGCCCCAAUACCUCCACUACAGCAAGGAAUACAGUAAAGGAUGCACUAGAGAUUCACAGCGAAAACUGGAAUGAGAAGUAUCUCGGGCUCCCGGUGCAUGUGGGAAAAUCCAGAAGAAAGGCAUUUGCUUAUAUCAAAGGGGCAUUGGCAAGAAGGGUUUAUGGGUGGAAGGAAAAGCUUAUUGCGAAGGUGGGCAAGUAGACGUUAGUGACGGCGGUGGUGCAAGCAAUCCCCACAUUUGCUAUGUCAUGUUUUGAUCUCACAAAAAGCUUCUGUCAGGAGUUAAGUUCUCUCAUUGGUUCAUACUGGUGGAACCAACAAGAGAAGGAGAAUACGGUACACUGGAUUGGGUGGGACAAACUAACCAGAUCAAAAGCGAGAGGGGGACUAGGAUUCCGGGACAUGCACGGAUUCAAUAUGGCAAUGCUAUCCAGGCAGGCUUGGUGACCGAUCCAAUAGCCGGACACAUUAUGUGCUCGUGUUCUUAAGGCCUGGUACUACCCACAUAGCAGUGUUCUUGAAGCUGAAGCCAAGGGUGGUAUCUCAUAUACCUGGAGGAGCUUAAUCAAAGGCAUUGAUUUGAUCCGAGAGGGUUAUAUUUGGCAGAUUGGUGAUGGAACUGAUGUUAACAUUUAGACGGAUCCUUGGAUCCCACGACCAUGGUCAUGGCGAGUCAUUACUCCUAGAGUUCACAAUCUGCUUACCAAGGUUAGUGACCAAAUAGACCUGGGUACAGGACAAUGGGAUGAGCAACUGGUGAGGGAAUCCUUCUGAGUAGAUGAUGCCCGGCACAUCCUCCAGAUGCACUUGAGAGAAGGAGUGCAUGAUUUCAUCGCAUGGCAGUUUGAUACAAAAGGGGAACACUCAGUCAAGAGCGACUAAAAGUUAUAUGCCGAGUUAGAAUCGCAGCGGAGACUUGGAGGAGUGGGUAUGAGCUCCACAUCUGCUGGCAAUCUGAAUGUUUGUAGGGACGACUCAUGGAAAAGGAUAUGGAAGCUCCCGUGCCCAUGAACGGUGCAAAUGUUCACAUGGCGGGUGAAGCAUGAAUAACUAGCGCUCCUGACCAAUAUGGAGAGAAGAGGUCUUAAAUUAGAGAGCACGAAGUGCUUCUUUUGUGGACAAGCCAGUGAGGACGGUGCUCAUCUAUUUAUCAAGUGCAAAUCUGUCAAAGUUGAGUGGAGAGAGCUUGCUCUUGAAAAGGAAAGAAUGGAAUUGGAAAAUAUAACAUCCGUGCAUGCAAUGCUGGACUAUCUGUGGGGGCUGGACGAGAGUAAGCGCAUGCAUAUCCUUACCUUUUGGUGGCUCUGGUGGAGUGCUAGGAACAAACUGAGGAAAUGGGAGCUGGGUGCAAAGGCUGGAACUGUGGCGAGAAACACUCGUACUGCAGUUCUUGAGUACAUGCAGGUGUAUUUCCUACCGGCCAAGAAACCAAGCCCAGACAGAUGGGCACCACCAACGGGAGAGAUGGUGAAAAUGAACACUGAUGGGUCCUUCGUCCCAGGUGAGCACCAUGCUGGUUGGGGCGUUGUGGCGAGGGACUCUGCAGGAGUGGUCAUCGCAGCACGAGCCGGGAGAUAGGAGUAUGUGGCUGAUGCGUUUUCUGCAGAGGUUUAUGCGCUAUCGCAUGCAGUCUCACUUGCGGCUGACCUUGGCCUCACGAGGGUGGAGUUUCAGGUGGAUUCACAGCUGCUGGCGGAAGGCAUGAACUUCAUGAAAGCUGACUCGUCGCCGUAUGCAUCUGUCAUUGAAUACACGAAAUACCAGCUUAAGAUGUGGUUCGUUGAACAUGUAAUAACUGUUUUAUCGUCGCAGUGCAAAUUCUGUAGCACAUGAACUGGCCAGUAUAGGUCGUAUGCUUCCUGAAAACCACUAUAUGGAGUGGAACUCUGAUGUACCAGCCCAGGUGGCUGCUUGUGUUGUGGGCAAUUUGCCCGAACACCGUUAAGUAAUGAAAUCUUUGCUUGACCUUAAAAAAAUACUCUUAGAUGCAUCCGAUGAUGCGGCUGUCUGUUUCUUGCGUUCCAUAAUUUGGUUCGUGAUUGCUUGUGUUCCGGCGACUUGAUCUCCAGGGCACUAGGUUAGUUCGGUUCUUGAUCAGCAAGGAUCGAUCCCAUCUAUUUUCUUUCCAUCUACUACUGCUUCAUUCUCAACUGCUAAUUACCUCGUCACCGCCGCCACUAAUCGCCUUUAGCUUAAUCCCCUGCAUCUAUCCUAGUACUACUACUACUACUACCAUGUACAUCUUCUAGCCGCUGUUCAUCUCUACAAUCCAUCCAUCCAUAGUCUGCUACUAGUCUCCGUCACGUACACAUCCACAAUCUCUUCCAAUUCCAACAAGAUCCAUUAUGUUUUCUUUUUCCUGCGAGAUUGCUUCUGCUAGUACAACUGUUGGCGCGUGGUGAAAGAUCAAGGCAACCUAAAAAUUGCCUCAACGCAACUUGAGCCGUAUCAUUUUUGACACACUUAAUUAUAUAUAAUGCAUGCAGAUAAAUCGGAAAUAGAUGUACGGUGACAGACGCACCUCCGAGUACAUUAAGGAUGUGCAUAAUUUUCUCGAAAUGGCUAAGGCAAACAAGCAGAAUGGUUUUAUGUGUUGUCCAUGCCUUAUCUGUGGGAAUACAAAGUCUUACUCUGACUCAAAAACCCUUCACAUCCACCCACUUGAGAAGGGUUUCGUGCCACACUAUAAUGUUUGGACCUAGCAUGGAGAAAGAGGGGUUAUGAUGGAAGACAACGAAGAAGAAGAGGAUGAUGACAACUAUCCGCCCCCUGAAUACGAUGAUGUUGCAACGGGGGAAGCUGAAGAUCAAGAGUGAUGAGGAGCGAACCUCGAGACAAGGAUCAAUCCGUUGUUGGCCCGAUCUUUCACGGCACAAACCUCCAUCGCAGCAAGAACAAGUCAUAGGUUUAUGAAGAUGUUCGCAAAUACCACGGAAACAACACGCCAACCCCUCAAUUCAAAGGAAUAACGUGGAUGAACCGUAUAGGCUCAGCUUGUAAUCCCCUACGCGCCGCGUCACAGGGACUCACACGCCAGUAGAGAUUUUUAACAAGAUUUCUCUAAACUUGAUAAUGGCCGAUGACCAAAAAACAGACACGUGUCUAGUUCAUCUCAGAAUAACCUCCCAUUAUAGCAUGGACUUGGCUUUAGUAGCCACCCCUUCUAACUUGACUCACAAGAAGUAAUUUAAUAUUUAACUCUAUCUCUAACUCACGGCUGAAGUAGAAUUGUAACAAAAAAACAACCUAUAAUUAACUAACUGACCCAAACUUGGUCUCUGCAUAUUGUGAUACGGCUAAGUUGGUUUGGUGGAGCCCAACCGACAUCUUUCAAGGACAUAGCAGACCACGUACCAACAAAUCUAAUUGCAUGCUUGAUCUUCUCCUUACGUGGCAAGAAUAAAAACAACCUUGUUUGCAUGGCGUGCCCUUCACACCAAUAUGUGAUCCUUUCAUUAAUUGGAAACUUUACACGUGCAUGGCACGUCAUAAUCUUUUUCCCAAACCAGGAAACAUGUUCCAUAUCUCCAAGGCAUAUUAAAGUAUUCAUGUAUUGGCUUGGUCUCUCUAUGGCACGUCUUGCUACUAAUCUCAUGCUGAACCCACAUGUAUCUGUAAAACGACUUGGUGCAUGCAAACAUGUAGUCAUACCAUGCAACUUUGGACUAGAGUCACGGCUCAUCUUUUGCACAGCCUUGGCAUACACACAAGUUUCACUAAUAAGAUGUUCCUCACCAUCAUAGAUUAGGCGAAGGUACCGUGGUACUUGGCAUGUAUAUUUUGGCAUGUCAAUAUCUUUGACCUGGAGUCCUUUGACACAUGACAAUGUAUGAACAUCAAGAACACCAGUGUUAGUCAUGGCCAUAUCAAAGAGGAACCAGACGAUGUGCCCGAUGAUGAUCUUCGCUAGGUCAUUGUUGAUGUAAAGAGACAAUGCCAAAGUGAAAGGGAGAAGUUGAAGUUCGAUCGCAUGUUAGAGGAUCACAAAAAAGGGUUGUACCCAAAUUACGAGGAUGGCAACACAAAGCUCGGCACCACACUGGAAUUGCUGCAAUGGAAGCCAGACAAUGGUGUAUCUGACAACGGAUUUGAGAAGGUACUGGAAAUAUUGAAGAAGAAGCUUCCAAAGGAUAACAAAUUUCCCGACAGUACGUACAGAGCAAAGAAGGUUCUAUGCCCUCUAGGAUUGGAGGUGCAGAAGAUACAUGCAUGCCCUAAUGGCUGCAUCCUCUACCGCGGUGUGUACGAGGAUUUGAACACAUGCCCAGUAUGCGGUGCACUGCGGUAUAAGAUCAGACAAGAUGACCCUGGUGAUGUUGAGGGCGAGUGCCCCAGGAAGAGGGUUCCUGCCAAGGUGAUGUGGUAUGUUCCUACAAUACCACAAUUGAAACGUCUGUUCAGAAACAAAGAACAUGCCAAGUUGAUGCGAUGGCACAAAGAGGACCAUAAGAAAGACGGGAAGUUGAGAUCACCUGCUGAUGGGCCGUAGUGGAGAAAAAUCAAGAGAACAUGGGGCGACUUUGCAGGUGACGCAAGGAACGUAUGGUUUGGUUUAAGCGCGGAUGGCAUUAAUCCGUUUGGGGAGGAGAGCAGCAACCAUAACACCUGGCCUGUGGCUCUAUGUAUCUAUAACCUUCCUCCUUGGUUGUGAAGCUCUGUGCAUUCCUCAAUGCAAUCUCUCAGAAGGUAAUCCAUCCAGAAAUCCUACCAAGGUUAAGGAGUGAUUUGGUGCAAUGUCUUGUCUAUUGCGAGCUGGUGUUCCUACCAUCCUUCUUCAAUAUCAUGACGCACGUCCUAGUUCAUCUAGUCGACGAGAUUGCCAUUCUGGGCCCUGUAUUUCUACAUAAUAUGUUCCCCUUUGAGAGGUUCAUGGGAGUCUUAAAGAAUUAUGUUCGUAACCGUGCUAGGCCAGAAGGAAGCAUCUCCACGAGCCAUUAUACAAAGGAGGUUAUUGGGUUUUGUGUUGACUUCAUUCCUGACCUUAAGCCGACUGGUCUCCCUCAAUCGCGGUAUGAGGGGAGACUGACUGGAAAAGGCACGCUAGGCGCAGACUCAAUAAUAUGUAGGGACGAACAUUCUUGGUCUCAAGCACACUACACAAUUCUACAGAAUUCAACCUUGAUGACCCCGUAUGUCAAUGAACACAAGAAUAUUCUACGCUCCAAACACCCGGAGCAGUGUGACGACUAGAUUACAUGUGAACACAUCAGGAAUUUCGACAGUUAGUUGCAAAAACAUCUCAUGGGUGACAACACCGUUGCAGAUGAGCUGUACUCGUUGGCCAGGGUACCAUCUUUGACUGUAUUGACUUGCAAAGGGUACGAGCUAAAUGGGAAUACAUUUUACAUGACCGCCCAAGAUCAAAGGAGCACCAACCAAAACACUGGUGUCCGGUUUGAUGCAACAACCAAGAGGGGAAAUGACACAUAUUAUGGUUACAUGGUGGACAUAUGUGAACUUGACUAUGGACAUGAUUUUAAGGUCCCUUUGUUUCAGUGCAAAUGGGUCAAUCUAUCAGGAGGCGGCGUACAGGGAGACCCACAAGGGAAUGACCUUCAUUUUCUCUCUAUCUUCUGCAAUGGUCGGGCAUUGAGUCUGACUCAACUUCACACCUUGUAACACAGGCAAGAACCAUUUCUUUAACUGAUCCAUUUUGAAAUUCUUCAAAACUUUAUCAAGGUAUGUGCUUUGUGAAAGUCCAAUUAAGCGUCUUGAUCUAUCUCUAUAGAUCUUGAUGCCUAAUGUAUAAGCAGCUUCACCGAGGUCUUUCAUUGAAAAAUUCUUAUUCAAGUAUCCUUUUAUGCUAUCCAGAAAUUCUGUAUUAUUUCCAAUCAACAAUAUGUCAUCUACAUAUAAUAUUAGAAAUUCUACAGAGCUCCCACUCACUUUCUUGUAAAUACAUGCUUCUCCAAAAGUCUGUAUAAAACCAUAUGCUUUGAUCACACUAUCAAAGCGUAUAUUCCAACUCCAAGAGGCUUGCACCAGUCCAUAAAUGGAUCACUGGAGCUUGCACACUUUGUUAGCACCUUUAGGAUCAACAAAACCUUUUGGUUGCAUCAUAUACAACUCUUCUUUAAGAUAUCCAUUAAGGAAUGCAGUUUUGACAUCCAUUUGCUAAAUUUCAUAAUCACAAAAUGCGGCAAUUGCUAACAUGAUUCGGACAGACUUAAGCAUCUCUACGGGUGAGAAGGUCUCAUCGUAGUCAACUCCUUGAACUUGUCGAAAACCUUUUGCAACAAGUUGAGCUUUGUAGACAAUAACAUUACCGUCAGCGUCACUCUUCUUCUUGAAGAUCCAUUUAUUCUCUAUGGCUUGCCGAUCAUCGGGCAAUUCAAUCGAAGUCCACACUUUGUUCUCAUACAUGGAUCCCAUCUCAGAUUUCAUGGCCUCAAGCCAUUUUGCAGAAUCUGGGCUCAUCAUCGCUUCCUCAUAGUUCGUACGUUCAUCAUGGUCAAGUAACAUGACCUCCAGAACAGGGUUACCGUACCACUCUGGUGCGGACCGUACUCUGGUUGACCUACGAGGUUCAGUAGUAACUUGAUCUAAAGUUUCAUGAUCAUCAUCAUUAGCUUCCUGACUGAUUGGUAUAGGAAUCACUUGAACUGAUUUCUGUGAUGAACUACUUUCCAAUUCAGGAGAAGGUACAAUUACCUCAUCAAGUUCUACUUUCCUCCUGAUAACCCACAAGUAUAGGGUAUCGCAACAGUUUUCGAGGGUAGAGUAUUCAACCCGAAUUUAUUGAUUCAACACAAGGGGAGCCAAAGAAUAUUCUCAAGUAUUAACUAUUGAGUUGUCAAUUCAACCGCACCUGAAAGACUUAAUAUCUAUAGCAAAGUAUUUAGUAGCAAAGUAAUAUGGAAGUAGCGGUAACGGUUGCAAAAGUAACAGUAGUAGUUUUUGUAGUGAUUGUAAAAAUGGCAAGGGAAAAGUAACUAAGCAAAGAUCAAUAUGUGAAAUGCUCGUAGGCAUUGGAUCAGUGAUGGAUAAUUAUGUCGGAUGCAAUUCCUCAUGCAACAGUCAUAACAUAUGGUUAUAUAGAACUAGCUCCACUUCAUCAAUGUAAUGUAGGCAUGUAUUCCGAAUAUAGUCAUACAUGCUUAUGGAAAAGAACUUGCAUGACAUCUUUUGUCCUACCCUCCCGUGGCAGUGGGGUCCUAUUGGAAACUAAGGGAUAUUAAGGCCUCCUUUUAAUAGAGUACCGGACCAAAGCAUUAACACUUAGUGAAUAUAUGAACUCCUCAAACUACGGUCAUCACCAGUAAGUAUCCCGAUUAUUGUCACUCCGGGGUUGACGGACCAUAACACAUAAUAGGUGACUAUAGACUUGCAAGAUAGGAUCAAUAACUCACAUAUAUUCAUGAAAACAUAAUAGGUUCAGAUCUGAAAUCAUGGCACUUGGGCCCUAAUGACAAGCAUUAAGCAUAGCAAAGUCAUAGCAACAUCAAUCUCAAAACAUAAUCAGUACUAGGGAUCAAACCUUAACAAAACUAACUUGAUUACAUGACAAAUCUUAUCCAACCCAUCACCGUCCAGCAAGCCUAUGAUGGAAUUACUCACGCACGGCGGUGAGCAUCAUGAAAUUGGUGAUGGAGGAAGGUUGUUGUUGAUGAUGAUGAUGAUGAUGAUGAUGAUGAUGGCGACGGAUUUUGAAAUAGAGAUGAAUAAUAUUUUGAGCGGUAUACUUUCAUUUUCAACAUAAAAACCAAGAGAUCUCGACAUCUUCCAUGCUACACACAUUAUAGGCGGUUCCCAAGCAGAAUGGUAGAGUUUAUACUCCCCCUACCACCAACAAACAUCAAUCCAUGGCUUGUCCGAAACAACAGGUGCCUCCAACUAACAACAAUCAUGGGGGAGUUUUGUUUGAAAUUAUUUUAAUUUAAGCAUGGGACUGGGCAUCCCGGUUACCAGGUAUUUUCUCGUGAGUGAGGAGCAGAGUCCAUGCCUCUUGAGAAUAACCCGCCUAGCAUGGAAGAUAUAGACAACCCUAGUUGAUACAUGGGCUAUUCGAGCAUACAAAACAGAAUUUCAUUUGAAGGUUUAGAGUUUGGCACAUAUAAAUUUACUUGGAAUGGCAGGUAGAUACCGCAUAUAGGAAGGUAUGGUAGACUCAUAUGAAAUAACUUUUGGGUUUAUGGAAGUGGAUGCACAAGCAGUAUUCCCACUAAGUACAAGUGAAGGCUAGAAAGAGACUGGAAAGCGACCUGCUAGAGAGCGACAACAGUCAUGAACAUGCAUUAAAAUUAAUCAACACUGAGUGCAAGCAUGAGUAGUAUAUAAUUCACCAUGAACAUAAAUAUCUUGGAGGCUAUGUUGAUUUUGUUUCAACUACAUGCGUGAACAUGUGCCAAGUCAAGCCACUUGAAUCGUUCAAAUGAGGAUACCACCCUAUCAUACCACAUCACAACCAUUUUAAUAGCAUGUUGGCACGCAAGGUAAACCAUUAUAAACUCCUAGCUAAUUAAGCAUGGCAUGAGCAACUAUAAUCUCUAAUUGUCAUUGCAAACAUGUUUCAUUCAUAAUAGGCUGAAUCAGGAACGGUGAACUAAUCAUAUUUACAAAAAAAGAUAGGUCGAGUUCAUACCAGCUUCUCUCAUCUCAAUCAGUCCAUCAUAUAUCGUCAUUAUUGCCUUUCACUUGCACAACCGAACAGUGUGGAUAAUAACGUGCAUUGGACUAAGCUGGAAUCUGCAAGCAUUUAAUACACAGGAGAAGACAAGGUAAUAUGGGCUCUCUGUUAGAUCAAUAAUAAUGCAUAUGAGAGCCACUCAACAUUUUCAUCAUGGUCUUCUCCUCUCGACCCCCAAAGAAAAGAAAAGAAACAAAACUAUUUACACGGGAAAGCUCCCAACAAGCAAAACAAGAACGAGAAAUAUUUUUGGGUUUUCUUUUUUAAUUACUACUACUACAGGCAUGGAAGGUAAACUAGCUAAAAGCUACAACUAAUUUUUUUGGUUUUUAUUAAGGUUUUUCAAACACACAAGAAGACAGCUUAAAAGUAAAAUAAACUAGCAUGGAUAGUACAAUGAAAAAGUAUGAGCACCGACAACUAACAUGAGUGUGUGAACAUGAAUGUAAUGUCGGUGAGAGAUACGUACUCCCCCAAGCUUAGGCUUUUGGCCUAAGUGGUCUAUGGCCAUGGCUCAAAGCUGCCCUCUCCGGUGUACGGAGGAGUGUCCUCUGGGUGCCACUGGUUGGCAAUCUCCUCCGGAUCCCACUGAUAAACAGACUGCCAAUAAGGAUCAAGGGGUGGCUCCGGCUCGGGCUCUGGAGCUGAUGUCAGGCUCCGGUAGGCGUGAAUGGCCUCCGGCAAAACGAGGUACAUGACUGAAAAUAUGUUAAACAAAGAGGGCGCAGGCAAGGUAAUAAUCCCAUAGUAGUUUUUAUCAAAUAUCAAUCUAUAUUUAAGCAUCUUCUUUUUAUCCUUAACAAUGAAAUCAUGUGCUACCAUACUCUUAUAAUCUAGAAAAAUAGGGGGCAGCAACUUUUCCUCUUUCUCAUAAUGCCUAAUAGGUAUCCUAAAGUGUGCAUCAAGGCGUGAAGCAAAGAUGCCUCCAAAGAUGGGGCCCUUUGUUCGGUUCAGAUUUAACCGUUUAGCAACAAUAGCAUCUAGACUGAAAGUUGUAUCACGAAACAAAGCAUGGCAAAAAAUAACAAUAUCAGGGGCACUGAGGUUUCCACUAUUCCCACGACCAAUUAAGCAUCUACUAGCAAAUAUUGCAAAGUAACGUAGAACAGGAGAAUGUAUACUAGUAAUUCUUUCAUCGAAAACUUUCCUCGUUUCCCCUACAGCAAUUGUAUCAACAAACCCCUCCACAUCAUUACAAUGUGGUUCCUCUAUGAUGCCCUCAAAGGGAAUCUUACAGACCCGACAAAAAUCAUAAAGUGACAUCUCCUUAAUGAUAUAAACCGAACCUCGAUAGCGAGAUUCGAUAUGUUGUUGCGGCCCGAUCUUUCACGACACUCCACCACCAGUAGUAGCAACCUCCCGCCCGCGCACGCGAUGUACACGUUCACGACACUCCACCACCAGUAGUAGCAACCUCCCGCCCGCGCACGCGAUGUACACGAAGUAGAGGGUUUGAACCUUGCGGCCCAGCACGAGAAAACCAAUCUCAACGAAGGUACUCGCGCUCAAAACAAUUUCCACGAAGAGAAAUCGCAACACAGAGGUUUUUUAAAGAUCCCUCCAAAUCUUGUCUACCCUGAAAAACACAUCGUGUCUAUUUCAUAUAAAAAUAACCUGCCUUUUACAUGGCGCACCUUGACUUUUAUAUUACCCGACCAUCUAAGAAACUUGAUAAGCAAGGAAGGAAAAUCCUAUCUCUACUCUCACGGCUGAAAAUUAAACAAAACAAGUCCAAAGACUUGCCUAAAGAUAACUUUAGGACUCUAAGAAAUUUGCCUUUUACAUCUUGGCAGUUUUUAUUUCCUAAACAAAACUGAUGCGCCAACUUAACAUAAUCAGCUGUCGGUGGCCCCCAUCCGUAGGCUUGCAAGGAGAGCACGUCACGUGGUAAAAAGUGAAUGGACCUGGAACAAUCUGGUGGACGAACUCUGCCGAAGUAGUACUCCACACGGCUUCUUGUUUUCUUUGCGUUACAUGCAUCUAGGACUCCUGCGUGUGCACCAAAACCACAAUGGGCUAAUAUCUUGGUUGCAUGCCAAUUAAAACCAUCAGCGUAAUCACGUGCACAUACAUGAUCUGGUGCAUGUAUGACUACAUCCAAUUCUUUUUCACUUACUUUAUCUUGGUAGUUUUCUUUCGACUGAACAAAACUCAUCUGAGGUCUUGUAGCUUCAGGUUUACCGGCAGACGCAACAAAAGUCUCAGCCUCCUUAUUAUCUGUACCAAAUUGAAUUAAUUUUGGCAUGCAAAUAUUAUUGAUCCGUAGUUCAUUAAAAUGUGAUAAUGUCUGAACAACAACAACAUCAUCUGCAGUCAUGGUCAUAUCACUUAACCUCAUCAUAUAAAUGAAAUUCCACUGAAGGUGGUGAUUUCUUAGCAUGAAAGUAAAAAUUUUGCACGAAAAUAUUAGUGAGGAGGAGAUACUGUUCGCGCUGGUCGCGGAGGAAGUCGACAAGGCCUGCAUUCUCAGGCAAAUGAUAAAAGUCUUCAUAAAUCCCGGCUGCUCUCAAGAACUCAUCACAAGGCCAUUCACACGGCCAGACCUCCGCAGUGCGAGGGAGAUUAUAUUUGGGCUUCUUAUUCUCUUCACUUUUCUUAUCCUUCGAGCUUCGGCUCAAAGAGCCCCUCAACAAUCUCUUCAUCAUUUUCUCUGAAAAAUUUCUGAAAUUUGUAGUGACUCAAAAUAAAAGUGAAUCAAACUCAACAAGAUUGAUAGCAACUACUCCUACAAGUGCCUAGAGGCCAUAUCAUGCAUUAAAACUACUUUUGACCACAUAAAUUUGACAUGCAAGCUCAAGACCAGGGUCACCUAAGCAGAAUUUUUUUGCAAUCAAUAAAGCACUAGAACAAGAACUAAUUGGACCAUUGGAGGAGUCACAUACCAAAGAACAAUCCCCCAAAGCAGUUUUAUGAAUGGAGCUUUGAGCUAGGAGAUCGAAAAUGGUAGCAAGAUGGGCAAGAACUCGGGUUUGAGCUGGUCGAUGAUUUUUUCUGGAGAAAGACGAAGUGUGUGGGUGCAAGAAUAAGUGGAGGGGCCCACAUGGGGUCCACGAGGUAGGGGGCACGCCCUAGGGGGGUGGGCGUGCCCUGGACCCUCGUGGUCAGGUGGUGUGCCCCCCUGGUGUGUUCUCAGUGCCAAUAAUUCUUAAAUAUUCUACAACAAAUUAUAUAUAAUUUUCAGGACAUUUGGAGAACUUUUAUUUUCGAGGUAUUUUUUAUUGCAAGGAUAAUUCAGAAAACAGACAGAAAAUACUAUUUUUUCUUUAUUUAAUCUAAAUAACAGAAAGUAAAAGGAGGGUACAAAGGGUUGUGCUUUCUAACUUCAUCCAUCUCAUGCUCAUCAAAAAGGAAUCCAUUAACAAGGUUGAUCAAGUCUUGUUAACAAACUCUUUCCGAAUAACACUAAGUUACCUCAACGGGGAUAUGCACAUCCCCAACAAUAAGAAUAUCAUAUUUCUUCUUGAUAGUAGGGAGAGGAAAUUCAAAAUGUCCAAUAGUAAUUGUUGAAGUUUUUCCAAUAGAAUUUAUACUGUGGACUUGAGGUUGUUUCCUCAGAAAAUGCACUGUAUGCUCAUUACCAUUAACAGGAAAAGUGACAUUGCCUUUGUUGCAAUCAAUAACAGCCCCUGUAGUAUUCAAAAAGGGUCUACCAAGAAUAAUAGACAUACUAUCAUCCUCGGGAAUAUCAAGAAUAACAAAGUCCAUUAAAACAUUAACGUUUGCAACCACAACAGGCACAUCCUCACAAAUACCGAUAGGUAUAGUAGUUGAUUUAUCAUCCAUUUGCAAAGAUAUUUCAGUAGGUGUCAACUUAUUCAAAUCAAGUCUACGAUAUAAAGAGAUAGGCAUAACACUAACACCAGUUCCAAGAUCACAUAAAGCAGUUUUAACAUAGUUUCUCUUAAUGGAGCAUGGUAUAGUUGGUACUCCUGGAUCUCCAAGUUUCUUUGGUAUUCCACUCUUAAAAGUAUAACUAGCAAGCAUGGUGGAAAUUUCAGCUUCCGGUAUCUUUCUUUUAUUUGUGACAAUAUCUUUCAUAUACUUAGCAUAAGGAUUCAUUUUAAACAUCAGUCAAACACAUACGCAAAAAUAUAGGUCUAAUCAUUUCAACAAAGCGCUCAAAAUCCUCAUCUUCCUUUUUCUUGGAUGGUUUAGGAGGAAAAGGCAUAGGUUUCUAAACCCAUGGUUCUCUUUCUUUACCGUGCUUCCUAGCAACGAAGUCUCUCUUAUCAUAACAUUGAUUCUUUGAUUGUGGGUUAUCAAGAUCAAUAGCAGGUUCAAUCUCUACAUCAUUGUCAUUGCUAGGUUGAGCAUCAUCAUUAACAUUAUCACUAGGUUCAUGUUCAUUACCAGAUUGUGUUUCAGCAUCAAAAAUAGAAAUAUCAUUGGGAUUCUCAGGUGUGUCAACAACAGGUUCGCUAGAAGCAUGCAAAGUGCUAUCAUUUUUCCUUUUCUUCCUCUUAGAAGGACUAGGUGCAUCAACAAUAAUUCUCUGAGAAUCUUGCUCAAUUCUCUUAGGGUGGCCCUCCGGAUACAAAGGUUCCUAGGUCAUUUUACCCCCUCUAGUCACGACUCUAAUAGCAUUAACAUUUUUCUUUUUAUUUAAUUCAUUGAGCAAAUCAUUCUGAGCUUUAAGCACUUGUUCUACUUGAGUGGUAACCAUAGAAGCAUAUUUACUAAAAAAUUUAAGUUCACCUUUAACUCUAGACAUAUAAUCACUCAAGUGUUCAAUCAUAUAAGCAUUACGUUUCAAUUGUCUACCAACAUAAGCAUUGAAGUUUUAUUGCUUAACAAUAAAAUUAUCAAACUCAUCCAAGCAUUGGCUAGCAGGCUUAUUACGAGGAAUAUCACCUUCAUCAAAUCUAUAGAGAGAAUUUACCUUUACUACCUGUGUCAGGUUAUCAAGACCAUGUAUUUCUUCAAUAGGUGGUAAAUUCUUAACAUCUUCAACUUCAAUACCCUUUUCUUUCAUAGAUUUCUUUGCCUCUUGCAUAUCUUCAGGACUGAGAAAUAGAAUACCCCUUUUCUUCGGAGUUGGCUUAUGAGUUGGUUCAGGAAGUGUCCAAUCAUUUUCAUUACUCAACAUAUUAUGCAAUAGCAAUUCAGCUUGAUCAACAGUUCUUUCCCUGAAAACACAACCAACACAACUAUCCAGGUGGCCUCUGGAAGCAUCGUUUAGUCCAUUAUAAAAGAUAUCAAGUAUUUCAUUUUUCUUGAGAGGAUGAUCAGGCAAAGCAUUAAGUAAUCAGAGAAGCCUCCCCAAGCUUGUGGGAGACUCUUCCUCUAUUUGCACAAAAUUAUAUAUUUCCCUUAAGGCAGCUUGUUUCUUAUGAGCGGGGAAAUAUUUAGCAGAGAAGUAAUAAAUCAUAUCCUGGGGACUGCGCACACAACCAGGAUCAAGAGAAUUAAACCAUGGUUUAGCAUCACCCUUUAAUGAGAACGGAAAUAACUUAGGGAUAAAGUAAUAGCAAGUUUUCUCGUCAUUAGUGAACAUGGUGGCUAUAUCAUUUAAUUUAGUAAGAUGUGCCACAACAGUUUCAGAUUCAUAGCCAUAAAAAGGAUCAGAUUCAACCAAAGUAAUUAACUCAGGAUCGACAGAGAAAUCAUAAUACUUAUCGGAAAUACAGAUAGGUGAAGUAGCAAAAGCAGGGUCAUAUUUCAUUCUAGCAUUCAAAGACUUUUCUUUGAGCUUAACUAAUUGUUUAUUAAGAUCAUAUCUAUCAUUGCAAGCUAAAAAGUCUCUAGCAGUUUCUUCAUCCAUAACAUAACCCUCAGGCACAACAGGCAAUUCAUAUCUAGGGGGAGAAUCUUCAUCAUCACUUUCAUCAAUAUUAUCAGUUUCAAUAAUUUCAUUCGCUCUAACCCUAGCAAGUUGUUCAUUAAGAAAUUCACCUAGUGGCACAGUGUUAUCAAGCAUAGAAGUAGUUUCAUCAUAAGCAUCAUGCAAAGCAGAAGUGGCAUCAUGAAUAACAUGCGACAUAUCAGAAUAGAUAUCAGGUGUAGGUGUCGCAAUUUUACUCAAAUUAGAAGGCGAAUCAAGUGCAGAGCUAGAUGGCAGUUCCUUACCACCCCUCGUAGUUGAGGGAAAAAUCUUGGUUCUUUCAUCUUUCCAGUUCUUUAUAGUGCUCAACAAAUAUAAAUCCCAAGUGACUCAAAGAAUAAAGCUAUGCUCCCCGGCAACGGCGCCAGAAAAUAGUCUUGAUAACCCACAAGUAUAGGGGAUCGCAACUGUUUUCGAGGGUAGAAUAUCCAACCCAAAUUUAUUGAUUCGACACAAGGGGAGCCAAAGAAUAUUCUCAACUAUUAAAAUUUGAGUUGUUAAUUCAACUGCACCUGAAAGACUUAAUAUCUGCAGCAAAGUAAUAUGGAAGUAGCGGUAAUGGUGGCAAAAGUAACAGUAGUAGUUUUUAUAGUGAUUGUAACAGUGGCAACGGAAAAGUAACUAAGCAAAGAUCAAUAUGUGAAAAGCACGUAGGCAUUGGAUCAGUGAUGGAUAAUUAUGUCGGAUGCGAUUCCUCAUGCAACAGUCAUAACAUAGGGUGACACAGAACUAGCUCUAGUUCAUCAAUGUAAUGUAGGCAUGUAUUCCGAAUAUAGUCAUACGUGCUUAUGGAAAAGAACUUGAAUGACAUCUUUUGUCCUACCCUCCCGUGGCAGCGGGGUCCUAUUGGAAACUAAGGGAUAUUAAUGCUUCCUUUUAAUAGAGUACCUGACCAAAGCAUUAACACUUAGUGAAUACAUGAACUCCUCAGACUAUAGUCAUCACCGGGAGUGGUCCCGAUUAUUGUCACUUCGGGGUUACCGGAUCAUAACACAUAGUAGGUGACUAUUGACUUGCAAAAUAGGAUCAAGAACUCACAUAUAUUCAUGGAAACAUAAUAGGUUCAGAUCUGAAAUCAUGGCACUCGAGCCCUAGUGACAAGCAUUAAGCAUAGAAAAGUCAUAGCAACAUCAAUCUCAGAACAUAAUGGAUACUAGGGAUCAAACCCUAACAAUACUAACUUGAUUACAUGAUAAAUCUCAUCCAACCCAUCACCGUCCAACAAACCUACGAUGGAAUUACUCACGUAUCACCUACCACUCACUUCUUUCGAGAGAAACUCCUUCUCUAGAAAGGAUCCAUUCUUAGCAAUGAAUAUCUUGCCUUUGGAUCUGUGAUAGAAGGUGUACCCAACAGUCUCCUUCGGGUAUCCUGUGAAGACACAUUUCUCCGAUUUGGGUCCGAGCUUAUCAGGUUGAAGCUUUUUCACAUAAGCUUCGUAGCCCCAAACUUUAAGAAACGACAGCUUAGGUUUCUUGCCAAACCAUAGUUCAUAUGGUGUUGUCUCAACGGAUUUAGAUGGUGCCCUAUUUAAUGUGAAUGCAGCCGUCUCUAAAGCAUAACCCCAAAACGAUAGCGGUAAAUCAGUAAGAGACAUCAUAGAUCGCACCAUAUCUAAUAAAGUACAGUUACGACGUUCGGACACACCAUUAUGCUGUGAUGUUCCAGGUGGCGUGCGUUGCGAAACUAUUCUACAUUGUUUCAAAUAAAGACCAAACUCAUAACUCAAAUAUUCACCUCCACGAUCAGAUCGUAGAAACUUUAUUUUCUUGUUACGAUGAUUUUCCACUUCACUCCAAAAUUCUUUGAACUUUUCAAAUGUUUCAGACGACGGCGGAGGCGGCGUACCGCUCCGUCGUUGUCGUUGUCGUCCUCCGGGACGCCAUUAUUGAAGUCUUCAACGCAGCACAGAAUGUUAUUCACUUGUAAAUCAAACAUCACGUCGUCCUGGGAUCGAUGUGCGGGGCGCGGGAGGACGGCAACUGGCGGCACUGAGAGGUAGCGUUCGACAGUGGCGCCCCAUGCCGCCGAGGGGGGCGCGUGCGGAGAGGAAGGCGGGCGGCCAUGGAAGUCAAAGGGCUCGCUUCCCAGUGAACCUGCGCAGCGUACAACUCGCACACUUCCUGGUGAGCCUGCGCAUUCGAGGACAGCUUGCACGCCUCUCGGUCAGCCUGCACACCGGACUGCGCUCACACGCCUCCCGUUUAGUCAAGGUCAAGCAACCGUCCGCACGACACCUCCUACAACCAUUAAAACCAAGACACGUGUGUCACGUGAAUGGUUAAUAGAACACUCACGGUUUGAAUUAUACAAAUGUUUGAGAUAUUAAAGUGACAACUAUUUUUUCAAAAUGCCUUUGUUGGCUGUCGUUAUUCGAGUGCACCUUCUCUCAAAAUGAACAUGAAAAAUAACAAAGCAUGUCGGGUGCCAUUCCAUGAUAGCAUGCCAAGUUUCAUGAAUUUCAGACGAGUUUUAGAUUUACUAGUAUUUAAAAAUAAAGUAUCUCAACGUUUUGCCGGCAAUCAACGGUGCCAUGGUGUUUGAAAUUCAUUCUCAUUUCUUGCAUGUGACCUAAGCAUGCACCCAAGGACACAGAUUUGAUUUUUCAACCAAUUUAUAUGCACUGGAGCAUGUGCAUGUAGUUCAAAUUUGAAUUAUGCACAUAAAUGCAUUGAAAACUCAGUUAAUGCGUAAAAAUGUCCAAACGAACCCCGAAAAAUCACAAAAAAUAACACAACACUCCUGUUGUCCUAUGUUGACAUGACAAAAUUUUUGAAAGCAAUAAGAGGCAAUGGAUAUCAUUUCGUCCCCAAAGGUGGGAUGUUCCCUACUGAAACCAUCAUGCUUGUUGUGAGAAGCUCUGGUUUGUGAGAAGCAUAUACCCAAACCUGCCCCAAAUGGGAUACAAUUUUUACCACGGCAUGUUGAUGCCGCUCUAUGAUAGCAUGCCAAGUUUCAUGAAUUUCAGAUGAGUUUUGGAUUUACUAGAAUUUAAAAACAGGUAUCUCAAUGUUUUGCCUGCAAUCAACAGUGCUCCGGUGUUUGAAAUUCAUUUCCAUUUCUUGCAUGGGACCUAAGCAUGCACCCAAGGACACAUAUUUGAUUUUUCAACCAAUUUAUCUGCACUGGAGCAUGUGCAUAUAGUUCAAAUUUGAAUUAUGCACAUAAAUGCAUUGAAAACUCAGUUAAUGCAUAAAAAUGUCCAAACGAACCUUGAAAAAUAAAAAAAAUGACAAAACACUCUUGUUGUUCUAUGUUGACACGAGAAUUUUUUUGAAAGCAAUAAGAGGCAAUGGAUAUCGUUUCGUCCCCCAAAGGUGGGACGUUCCCUACCGAACCAUCAUGCUUGUUGUGAGAAGCUCUAGUUUGUGAGAAGCAUAUACCCAAACCUGCCCCAAAUGGGACAAAAAAUUUACCACAACAUGUUGAUGCCGCUCCAUGAUAGCAUGCCAAGUUUCAUGAAUUUUAGACGAGUUUUGGAUUUACUAGAAUUUAAAAACCAGGUAUCUCAAUGUUUUGCCGGCAAUCAACGGUGCCUUGAUGUUUGAAAUUCAUUCCCAUUUCUUGCAUGGGACCUAAGCAUGCACCCAAGGACACAUAUUUGAUUUUUCAACCAAUUUAUAUGCACUGGAGCAUGUUCAUGUUUCUCAAAUUUGAAUUAUGCACAUAAAUGCAUUGAAAACUCAGUUAAUGCAUAAAUAUGUCCAAACGAACCCUGAAAAUCACAAAAAUUGACACAACACUCCUGUUGUUCUAUGUUGACACGAGAAAUUUUUUGAAAGCAAUAAGAGGCAAUGGAUAUCGUUUCGUCCCCAAAGGUGGGACGUUCCCUAUCGAAACCAUCAUGCUUGUUGUGAGAAGCUCUGGUUAGCGAGAAACAUAUACCUAAACCUGCCCCAAAUGGGACAAAAAUUUUACCAUGUCAUGUUGAUGCCGCUCCAUGAUAGCAUGCCAAGUUUCAUGAAUUUCAGAUGAGUUUUGGAUUUACUAGAAUUUAAAAACCAGGUAUCUCAAUGUUUGCGGCCCAGUGACGGUGGUAGGGUGCUUGACAUUCAUUCCCAUUUCUUGCAUGGGACCUAAGCAUGCAACCAAGAACACAUAUUUGAAUUUACCAAUUUAUAUGCAUUAGAGCAUGUGCAUGUAGUUCAAAUUUGAAUUAUGCACAUAAAUGCAUUGAAAACUCAAUUAAUGCAUAAAAAUGUCCAAACGAACCCCGAAAAAUCCCAAAAAUUGACACAACACUCCUGUUGUUAUAUGUUGACACUAGGAAAAAAUUUGUAAUCGAGAAGAGGCAACGGAUAUUGUUUUGUCCAGAAAGGUGAAAUGUUCCCUACCGAAACCAUUAGGCUUGUUGUGAGAAGCGCUAGUUCGUGAGAAGCAUAUCCCCAAACCUGACCCAAAUGGGACCAAAAAAAUUUACCACGACAUGUUGAUGCCGCUCCAUGACAGCAUGCCAAGUUUCAUGAAUUUCAGACGAGCUUUGGAUUUACUAGAAUUUAAAAACCAGGUAUAUCAAUGUUUGUGGCUGAGUGACGGUGGCAGGGUGUUUGACAUUCAUUCCCAUUUCUUACAUGGGACCUACGUAGGAAACCAAGGACACAUAUUUGAAUUUUCAACUAAUUUAUAUGCAUUAGAGCAUGUGCAUGUAGUUCAAAUUUGAAUUAUGCACAUGAAUGCAUAGAAAACUCAGUUAAUGUAUGAGAAUGUCCAAGCGAACCCCGAAAAAUCCCAAAAAUUAACACAACACUCAUGUUGUUCUAUGUUGACACUAGGAAAAAAAAUUCAAAUCGAGAAGAGGCAACGGAUAUCGUUUCGUCCAGAAAGGUGAAACGUUCCCUACCGAAACCAUCACACUUGUUGUGAGAAGCGCUGGUUUAUGAGAAGCUUAUACCCAAACCUACCCCAAAUGGGACAAUUUUUUUAC